AGAUCAAUGCUCACCGAACACACAUAUACUGAAUAUUAAGAGUAUUACAUCCAACGUACCGUUUGAUACAACAAAUGAGCAUCAUCGUCAAGUCUCAUAUAGAAAGGGCCUAUAAGGCCAAUUACACCGAUACAUCUACUAGCGGAAAUAUUGGUAAUAAACGGGAGCCCAUGCCAUCAGCCUUCACCAACAUGCAUUCUGACUGGGAAGCAUCCUAGUUCACGUGUCCGUCUCCGAUGACGAAUUCUUCUCCAAACUCCGGUUCCUCCAUGUCUGGUCAAUAAAAUAACCAGUGGCAAGCCAGUGAGUACUUUGAAUGUACUCGCAAACAGCCCAUGAUAUGGAUAAUGUAGUUGGUGUGGUAAUAAAGUAAUAUGCAGACUUUGCGGAAAGCAAAUUUUUCGUAAGGAUGUACAUUGUCAAUUACUUGUAUGGAUAUGCAUCAUAAGCUAGAUGGUAUUCAUAAGUUGUACCCACAUGAUCCGAAAAACAUCCUUAUCACCCACGACUCGUGGUAUAUAUCAUACCCGAGGGAAGUACCCGAUCAUUGCCUUUCCCCUAACGAUUCUAGACAAAGAGUUCACUCGAUUGGUACCCAACCCACAUGAUGUACGUCUUACGAGCACCAACUCUAGACCGUAUCAUCCAUGCGGGGACCAAGGGUGUGCCGUGAACACAUAAAAACGGCAUAGUCGAACUACCUGGUACGACCCCGUCAUGAGAGUGACCACAUAUCACUCCCACCACUAGUAAUGUUGCUCAUUGCUAGCACCGACCAAAGUAAUCAAUAAAGCCCCGUCCCAUAAAGGGGUAUCGUGGUCGUACAUGUAAGGUUGGGACGGUCGACACAUCAUAAAUCUAAUCCCAUUUACGAAACCACUCACACAAAAUAUUUCUUGAUGCACCACUUCUUCACAAGUGGCCACCUAACUCAUCAUCACCCUCAGGCAUUAGUGGCACCCGACGUGGUUUUCGUAAAACCUUUGUUAUCAACUUUGUGUUACCAUCAUCAUGCACAUGCUCUUUCUAUGCAUAGCACUACUAUCUACUUGUCAAUAUGUUAUCAGUGUGACCCUCAUAAAUGAUAGGGUCAUGCUUAAUGCAAGUGGUCCAGAGGAGCUAUCGGAAACACCAUGCCGGGGUGCACCGAUCGUCCUUAACUAUAUGCAUCGGAGUACAAUUACCAAUGUGUCAUGCAUAGAAGUAUUUCUUAGACAUGGUCAAAGAGCCUCUUGCCUUGAUCAACUAUGUUCCGGGGUCUUCGGGGUCUUCGGGUUCAAGUACUUCGUCGAACGCGAAAUCUAUCGUCGCAAUAAUACUAAUAAAAUAAGAACCUCAUUCAAAAACACAGCACAAACUCACUUUAAAAAUGUUAUCCUAUUAUGAUCAAUCUUUAUUAUAGUUUGAAAAACAUUUGUUUCUUGUUUUGAUGCAAAAAGGUAUUUUUAAAACCUAAUUAACAGGGCCUAAAAUAUUUAAACUAGGCAUUUUAAUCAAAGUUAUGUAUAAAAGUUUUGACAAAAAUUGGUAAAAUAGAACUACUAAAUUUUACAUAUUUUUAGAAGAAUUGUGGUGGAAAAAUAUUUAGAUUUGACUAAAUAUUUAAUUUUACAAAAAUCAUUUAGAAUCAACAUAAAAAGAAACGGGGAAACGGGCUUAACCCUGGCCUGGCUCGGCAAGUGGCUGGGCCGGCCCAACUGGCCAACCGACAAACUAGCGAGCCAGCAGCCCAGGUGCGCGUGCACCCUCAUGUUUAAACCUGACGCAUGGGCCCCUGCAGUCAGUGGGAGAGAGAGGAGAGAGGGGGAGAGGCUGGCCACCACAGGUGGGGCAUGCCUGUCGGGGUCGUCUUCCUACUCUAGACAGAAGGGAGUGGGGGCACGCCGGCGGCGAUUCCGACGACCUCGUGGCCACAUGACGGCAGGAACGGCACCGAGGCAUCGCCGCCUACAUGCUGGUGGUCGAAUGAACAACGGGGAAGCCCUAUGUCACCGGCGAUGAGGUGGCCGCGCGAAGGUGCUUCGGGUGGUGGUGGAGUUUGGUGCUACGGACAGGGAAAUGCUCGGGGCAGAGGUGGGGAGGCUUGUUGAGCUCUCUACGCUCACGAAGGAGGUGAGAUGAGCACGAGAGCUGGCCUUUAGCCCGAGAUCAACGGAGCUCCGAAGCGGCGGGGCCUCGGUCGAUCUCGAGCACCAGAGCUCUCUCUGCUCGAAUGGGGUGGCUAGGACCUCCAUUGAGCAUCUCGAGGAGUGGCGUGGGGUGCUGGAGUGAAGGGGGAAGGCCUAUUUAUAGGCCAGCAACAGUACACCACGCGUGGGAGCAUCGGUGCUUUCACCGUGGCUGCAGGAGAGGGAGAGAGGGCUCGGGGUCGAUACCACGGUUUCGCGGACGUGGUUUGAGACCCCACAGACCAAACGAGAGAGAGGAGGCUCAGUGCACGCGUGCUGCGGGGCCGCACUCUUUUGGCGGAACCUGGCGCACGAGGGCACGUGUCACCCUGGUCAGCACAGAUGGGGAGAAGGGGCCCUAGGGCUGCCCUGAGUCAAGAGGUUUGUCGGAGACGCGAAGAGACCCCGAGGGGAGGUGAGAACCGGUCGGGGCUGGCCUCCUUUGCCUCGGGUGUGCCUUGUAGCGUGCCCAGAGCACAGAUUUGGCAUGCCACGGCAUGCUGGCGUGCUCUGGGGUGCUUUGGCCCUGUCUGACGUGUCCGGGGGUUGGCUUAGAUGCCCUUUAGCCGUUUGGGAGCCGAGGGUCUCACUGCUGGUCAAAGGAAGUGCUUGAAGAGGAGCUGUCAGGCUUGAUUCAGAAACUAAAUUGGGGAUUUUGACUCACCUGCUCGGAACCAUAGAGGGGCCACUCGUCUGCAGUUGAGGAGUGGUGCUGGCAGCUUGCACUAAGAGUUUAGUGGAAAGGGAGUGGGUGUAGAGGGUGUUAAGUGUUGUUUGACCAUCCAGGCAGAAGGUGAUUGAUAUGUGUUUGGGGUAGUUAACCUCCACCACUCAUGUUGAAAGUUAACAUGAUUGGGUUUAAUACAAAGUAGGAUGCUCCACCAAAUUUGAGCGCCAUUGGACAAGGUUGACAAUGCAAACUUGAAAUCCCCCAAAUGGGCAGUUCUGUCCUUUAAAAGAGAAUGUGGCUAAAUUAAUACCACAAAUCUAUUUUUUGGCAGGGUCUCUUCAUUUGGGGUGUUGAUCACUCGUGCAAAGCUUUAGGCCAUUUGGACAAACUUUUCUAUGUAGAGUUGCUUCAACUUAAUUCUGGAAACGGAAGGUCAUAGGAAUAUUUGGUGAACCAAAGAACCUUGGAAUAAGGUGAAACUUGGCAUGACCACCAAAUAUAACUUGGGAAGCAUGCUAGAAUUUUCUAGGAAUUUAUUGAAACUGUUUCCUUUGGAAAUAUUUCAAAAGGUCAAAACAGACAGAAUAGGUUUUCAAGGAUUUGCUCAAAUAUUUUGAACAUAAAUAGGGGUUGAAAAUCUUAUUAUGGAAAAUAUAUGUCCUGUGCAUAUCUUCAAUUUUCUCAAGUUUUUCUAAGGCAGAAAAAUAAUUUUCCAUUCAGAAAUAUCAUUUCUCACCUCAGAAAAGGACAUGCAAAUAAAAUAGAAAAUUAUUUUAUAAAAUAAAUAUUUUAUGACUUUGGAAAGUUAUAAUAGUGCCAAAAUCAUAAUACAAUCUUUGGGUGGAGGCACUCCCUUGGAAUCAGGGACUUGAAGUGCAAACCCAUAGCAAGGUUUUGAAAUGGUCAAAAAUGAGAAAAAGGAUCUUUUUGGAAAUCUCACGUUAUAAAAAUAUUAUUUUUGGAUCCACUCACUCAAGCAUACACACAAACAAUGGCAAUCAUGGCACACAAACAAUGGCAAUCAUGGCACUCAUAGCACUUGCUUAAAAAGUUAUAAUAAAUUCAGGUUUUUGAAAAGACUACAAUUGAAGUAAGGUAAAAACGUGUGUGACAAUACUGAAGAGAUGAGUAUAUGGAAAUCGCUUCCACUCUCCACAAGCUACAUCAAGUUCACAUAAAUACAACAAUAUACAAUCAUCAUGAAAAAGAGCAGGGUUCGACUAUGGACGAAAAUAAAUGAUAAAAGAACGACGUCCAUCCUUGCUAUCCUAGGUUGCCGGCGUGGAACCCAUCCUAGAUCGAUGAUGAUGAAGAAGAAGAAACUCCAAAAGCACAAUCAUCGCGCUCACAACAUAAUAUCACAUUACUUGUACUUGCAAUUGGUGUUGUAGUAAUUUGGGAGCCACAGGAACUCAGCAAUUUCAUUUCCAAAGGUAUCGAGACUAACAAAGCUUAAUUGGUGAGGCUGCAGCUAGCGACCAAGCAUUUAUUUGAGGUGGCUAACUUACGAGUACAAAAAUAAGAGGGGGUGAUCUACGCAUAUCGGAAGUGAACUAAUAAUGAUCAAGUGAAUGAUCGUGAACCCUACUUACGUCAGACAUAACCUCACCAUGUACUCGAUCGGAGAAGGAGCUCAAGAAAGAGACAGUCACAGUUACACACUUAGUUGGCAAGUUUUUAAUUAAGUUUACUUCAAGCUAUCUAGAACUGGAUGUUAAACAAAGUUUCCAAGUUUGCCACAUAACCGCGGGCAUGACUUUCCGAAAGAUUUAACCCUGCAAGGGUCCUCCAACUAGUCCAUCACAAACUACCACACGUUACGUCGGAAUGACCUCAAUCAGGGAAAACCUGUGAACUCCUCGGGUUCCUAUUGAAAAACCUCAACCUCAAGAAGUAUCCUCGGAAUCCCAUGCACGAGACGCUCGAGAAAGGUAAAACAGGUCCAGCAAGGCCGACCGCCGUGUCGACGAUCCCGAUAAGAGCUGUGUAUCUCGUUUUCACGACACGACGGAUAAGCACAAUGUACGGUGGCCUGAUAGAAAUCUCCCGAGUUGCCCCGGGUUGACCCUGCAAACGACUCUAGUUUGAACUAACACCAGCAGUACUGGCCCCCGUGUAUUAUGUUGAAUUAUUUCUCGGGUUCAUGACGCCCUAUGCUUUUCAACGGUGUUCAAUUUUAUCAUGUUGGGAAAAUAUAGUAUUAAUGUUGGGCCGUGUCAGGCGAGUUUUAUCCCAAAUUGAAAAUCUAGGGGUCCCCAUAACAACCCCAAGCAUGUUAGGAGCGCUCAUUUAUGGAACAUGACACCGGUAGACGAAACUAAGGGGGCAAAGGUGGAACAAAACACCAAGCUAGAAGGCCAAGGCUUCCACCUUUUACCAAUUAUAUAGGUGCAUUAAAUUAAAUAGCAAUUAUAUGGUGAUAUAACAAGGAACCAUGUCGGCACAUGGAUGCAACUGCACCUUCAACUAGCAACGCUAACAAAAGGUUGAGCAAGCGGUAACAUAGCCAAACAGUGGUUUGCUGGGACGUGGAAAAGGUUUUCAUGGCAAUGUUGGGAGGCAUAUUAAACAGGUGGUAGGCAGCGAGACAUAGCGAAAACGAGACAACUAGCAUGGCAAUGGUAGUAAUGGUAUCUAGAAAAAUGGUCAUCUUGCCUGUGACCUCUUGUAAGAAGAUUGAAUCCAUGAAGCAGACGAACCAACAUAGUCGAACGAAUCCUCACACUCCAAAGCGGUUCGGAACUCUAUCAAGAAGAAACAAACCGGAAACAAGAAUCAACACACGAUAUUCACCACGGCAAAUGCACGCUAUGAUGCACAACCUAAUAUGAUGCAUGUCCAAUUCAACUAUGCAAGGCAUGGCAUGGCAAUUCACAACAAUCAAACACUACACAUUAAGUGAAACUCCGCAUUCGAAUUAUUUAGUUCGCUCCCGUUUAGGUACACGACAAUUUUUUAAAUGUUGUUAGCAUGGCAAGAGAUGAAGGAUGUGAUUCUACAUGUAAUUCUAGUCGGUUUACACAUAGCUCACGUAAAACAGAGCUACCAUUAACUAUCUAUAGGCAGCUAUAGGCAUUGUAAAACAGUGACAAAAUCUGCUAUAAUGCAUGUCUUGAAAUAAAUAAAAGAUCAAAAGAGGGGAAAACAUAUAUGCAUGGGCCCAAUUGCAACUAAGUGAAGCCACCCAGAAUUGAAUCAGGCCCAAGUGGCUCAGUGUACGUCCGUGGAAACAAUAAAAGAGAGGCUUACGUGAUUUGAUCCCUGGACCUGGUGGAUGCCGAACUGCUGUCCUAGCCAACAGAGCUAGUAUCUGAUUAUGAUAUGAGAUGGAACUAUCCUAUUUGAAGUAGCGCUACAGAGCAACAAAAUAAUUCGAAUGCGGAGCAGGGUGCAGAUCAACAAAAACAGAGCAAAACAUAUUACUGGCUGACCUGGGAUUCGAACCCCAGAUCUCGGGGAUGAAACUGAGUGGUGCUAGGCAUCUCUGCUGCACUUGCUUGAGUGAAUUUCACACAGGUUAUUACUUAUAGAACUGAAGAAACGGCGGUUGGAGCNAGGUUUGCCUACGGGGAAUAGGAGGAUACAGUUGAUCCAGGCACGGGCAACCCAUUCCCAGUGACGAGAGGUCUUGGGGAAGCGCGGAUGGGCGACCUCCAUGGACGGCGGAGGCGGGUUCCGAUGUGUUCCUGUCAGGGAAGAAACAAGCAAGAGGGAGAGGAAUUAGAGGAGAGAGGAUAGGGAAGGUGGGGCAUAGGAAGGAUCCUAGCGCAGAGGAGCGACCUGUUCGCUCCAGCGACUCAUCGGCGUCGGGGUUAAGGCGAGGUGCUCCGGCGGCGGUAGCUUCGCCAGGGAGGCUUGUCAACGAGGCGGUCUGGUCCAAUGGAACGGCCGGCACGACAGGUGGGGCAGGCACGAGCGAGCACCAUGGCUUCCAGCUCCCUUGACGCGAGCGAGGCGUGAGCCUUGCAUCCCACCGAGCAAAGAAGCAGGGUGUCGCGGGAGCAGGUGGUUGCACGGGGCUAGAGACGGCUCUCCGGACGAGGUACUCGGUGCCAUGCGCCGCGACUGUGUGAUCGGCCGCGGAUAUGGUUGGCUGGAUGUGUCCGUGGCUGUGGGUUGGCUUGCGCUGGUUGGUCGAGAGGAGAUCCCGAGGGAGAGGGUGGCAGCGGCGCUGCAGGAAUUGAGGGAGUUAGUCUAGGGUUAGGUCUAGGUUUGUUCAAAAUGGAUUAAGGUAGACUAUAUAUAGCAAGUGAGUUUGUUUUAGGGACAUCUAGACCCUCCGAUUAAAUCAGAUGGUUGAGAACAACUAGGUUAGGGAGUCUAGUUGACAAACCGAUGAUGGUUUGGGGUAUAACCAGGUUGAUCCGGACCCAAAGGUCACGACCAUAUGUUUCGAGUUUAGGGAAGUUUUUGAACAAGGUUGGGUGCACGUCGGUGCACUAUGUAGAGGGGCUAGGCACAGACGAGAGAUGAAAAGGGAAGCCCGGCAUUAGGUUUUUAAUGACCGAAAACGUCCAACGUUUGACCGGCUAUAGUGCGCUAUAUAUUUAAUAGUUUGGGUAUUGGACAGACUCCGAUUGUGACGAGAUUUGACAGACGACCUACCUACAUUAAAAUAAGAUCGCACGCCAAGUUUCAACCCAAUCCAAAAAAUAUACACACUUCUAAAAGGGGGGGGGGGGGUGCCACGGGAGCGUGCGAGUGUGGUUGGUCUCAAAAUGGUGAACGACAAAAACAGAGAGAACCAGCAACUAAUAACUAAUAACGGAUGCAAGUUUUGAAAAAUGACAGCAAUGGAGUGCGGGUGCAAUACGGAUGAUGCGAAUGAUGCGAUGAUGAAUGCGAGAACCAAAUAAUUAACACGGCGAUGUUGUAAUAAAAGGGGAAUCUUCUGCAGCGUCGGUCUCGAUGUAAUAGCCCGAGACCAAUCCGCCCGAAGAUUCCCCUUCUAUUUCGUUGUCGCCAUGUGUCUUAUUUUGUUGUCACAUUCAUCAUCGCAUCAUCCGCAUUUCAUCGGCAUUCCAUUGCCACCAGUUUUCAAAACAUACAUCCAUUGUACUUGUCGGUUCUCUCCGUUUUAUCGCUGAUCGUUUCGAGACCAACCACACAGGCACGCGCCUGCGGCGUCAUUCAAAUAUUGCCUUUAAACAUGUAUAUAAAAUAUUCUCGGAUUGGGUACAAACUUGGGGUGCAGUCUAAUUUUAAUGUAGGUACACCGCAUGCCAAAUUUCAUCACAAUCGGAGUUCGUUUGAUGCUCGAACGGUCGAACGUAGCGGCACCGUCACUGGUUUAUCGUUGGGCGUUUUUUGGUGUUUCAAAUAUCAUUGUCGAGCCACAAAUCUCCCUUUCUUCUCAGCCCAACCUAUUAUACACAGCCCCACACCACCCACCUAGCCUACCCCUCUGUUUCGGACCAUUGGAUUGAGAUCCGACGGCCCAAAAAUAGUGCAAGACCCCCUACCCUAAUCCCACAUGUUUUAAAUAGGUGUCAACCCUAAAUUCUAGGCAAAUUAUCCCAAUACAUACCCUUAGCCGCCGCCGCCUGUUGUCUCCCACCUCAGGAUCCCACAUAUGCACACCGAGCAAACCAGAGAGCCUCUCCUCUCGAUUCCAUCCAUCCAAUCAGCAGCUCCUCCUCCAACCUAUCGCCUCUCCUCGCUAGCUGCAACCAGCACGCAAGCUGGCCUGCUCGAUGGAUCAGGAGGAUCCCGAGCUCCUCGAGUGCGCGCCUCGCUGGAACCCCGCACCAUCCAAGACAACUUGACCCGUGGGAGAAGCGCUGACCUGUAGCCACCCGAGCCCGCAGGACCUCGCAUCCCCGACGACCGACAACUCGAGGUUGUCGUGCCAUGACCAUCUUUCUCCUUCCCUGCUUCCUCUUCUCUCUAUCUCCCUCUCCUACUUAUGUACACUUGCCUCUCCCGUAGAGAACACCCAUGGAUGGCAGCCCAAGCUUCUGGUGGACGUAGCAGUCGGAGCCCACAUCUCGCAAGCCGCGCUGCCUCAGACCCGUUCACGACGCUCCCACGCCAUUCCUCACCGUAGACCGGCCCAAGCUUCAGAGCUCCGCCCCCACCUCUCUGUGUCGUCGGCAGCCGCAUCGCCUCGCCAAGGCUCGGCGCCGCCAUGGCCUGCUGGACCUCGACCCCCUCCACCGUGCCAAUCCCUGACCAGAUUCAUGCACGUCACAUCUCCCAUGGUUGCUCUCUGUUGUUGAUGUGUGCGAUUGGGGAGAAGAAGACAUGCGCUUUGUUUAGUAUAGGUUGUUUCCCUCGGCUAGUAGACCACAACAUCAAUCACAACCGAGCUGGAUAGAACCACUUUGUUCCAUCCGAGGUGUCUAGGGUACGAACCCUAGGUGCCCCUAUUUUGUUUUGCCUUUUUUCUGUUGUUCUUUAAGCCAACACUGGCCACUCCUAGUUCAGCUAGAUUUGGUGUGUCUAUUGAACAGAUUCAAUCACUAGUCCUACUGCUAUUUUGUUUUGCCUUUUUCCUGUUGUUUUGUAAGUCAACACCGAGCUGGAUAGAACCACUUUGUUCCAUCCGAGGUGUCUAGGGUACGAACCCCAGGUGCCCCUAUUUUGUUUUGCCUUUUUUCUGUUGUUCUUUAAGCCAACACUGGCCGCUCCUAGUUCAGCUAGAUUUGGUGUGUCUAUUGAACAGAUUCAAUCACUAGUCCUACUGCUAUUUUGUUUUGCCUUUUUCCUGUUGUUCUGUAAGUCAACACCGGCCGCUCCUAGUUCAGCUAGAUUUGGUGUGUCUAUUGAACAGAUUCAAUCACUAGUUCUACUAGUUAGCUUAUCACGUUUGCAACCAGGAGGUAUCGGUUCGAUUCCCACUUACCCUAAUUUUUCCACGUUUAUUUUUUUUUCCUUUGCACACACACGCAUUGCAUACAUGUUGCAUUAAAAGCAUAUGAUCUUGUUUAUUUUAUUUUUUUUUGCACACACACGCAUUGCAUACAUGUUGCAUUAAAAGCAUAUGAUCUUGUUUAUUUUAUUUUUUUUUGCACACACACGCAUUGCAUACAUGUUGCAUUAAAAGCAUAUGAUCUUGUUUAUUUUAUUUUUUUUUGCACACACACGCAUUGCAUACAUGUUGCAUUAAAAGCAUAUGAUCUUGUUUAUUUUAUUUUUUUUUGCACACACACGCAUUGCAUACAUGUUGCAUUAAAAGCAUAUGAUCUUGUUUAUUUUAUUUUUUUUUGCACACACACGCAUUGCAUACAUGUUGCAUUAAAAGCAUAUGAUCUUGUUUAUUUUAUUUUUUUUUGCACACACACGCAUUGCAUACAUGUUGCAUUAAAAGCAUAUGAUCUUGUUUAUUUUAUUUUUUUUUGCACACACACGCAUUGCAUACAUGUUGCAUUAAAAGCAUAUGAUCUUGUUUAUUUUAUUUUUUUUUGCACACACACGCAUUGCAUACAUGUUGCAUUAAAAGCAUAUGAUCUUGUUUAUUUUAUUUUUUUUUGCACACACACGCAUUGCAUACAUGUUGCAUUAAAAGCAUAUGAUCUUGUUUAUUUUAUUUUUUUUUGCACACACACGCAUUGCAUACAUGUUGCAUUAAAAGCAUAUGAUCUUGUUUAUUUUAUUUUUUUUUGCACACACACGCAUUGCAUACAUGUUGCAUUAAAAGCAUAUGAUCUUGUUUAUUUUAUUUUUUUUUGCACACACACGCAUUGCAUACAUGUUGCAUUAAAAGCAUAUGAUCUUGUUUAUUUUAUUUUUUUUUGCACACACACGCAUUGCAUACAUGUUGCAUUAAAAGCAUAUGAUCUUGUUUAUUUUAUUUUCUUUUGCACACACACGCAUUGCAUACAUGUUGCAUUAAAAGUUAUUUUUUCUUUUGUACACACACGCAUUGCAUACAUGUUGCAUUAAAAGCAUAUGAUCUUGUUUAUUUUUCUUUUGUUUUGCACACACACGCAUUGCAUACAUGUUGCAUUAAAAGCAUAUGAUCUUGUGUUGUUCGAAGCUAGUUAACCGUAGCUCCGUUGGAGAUGAUGGAUAUAUGUAAAUCGACUAGAAUGAUGCGUAGAAUCACGUAAACAUAUUUAUUCUACUAUUUAACAAAAAAUAAAACAUGUUAGUUCAGAUCUGGACAGAUUUCUUAAUAAACGUAGCCCUAUUUUGUUUUGCCUUUUUUCUGUUGUUCUUUAAGCCAACACUGGCCGCUCCUAGUUCAGCUAGAUUUGGUGUGUCUAUUGAACAGAUUCAGUCACUAGUCCUACUGCUAUUUUGUUUUUCCUUUUUCCUGUUGUUCUGUAAGCCAACACCGGCCGCUCCUAGUUCAGCUAGCUUUGGUGUGUCUAUUGAACAGAUUCAAUCACUAGUUCUACUAGUUAGCUUAUCAUGUUUGCAACCAGGAGGUAUUGGGUUCGAUUCCCACGUACCCCAAUUUUUCCACGUUUAUUUUUUUUUCUUUUGCACACACACGCAUUGCAUACAUGUUGCAUUAAAAGCAUAUGAUCUUGUUUAUUUUAUUUUCUUUUGCACACACACGCAUUGCAUACAUGUUGCAUUAAAAGCAUAUGAUCUUGUGUUGUUCGAAGCUAGUUAACCGUAGCUCCGUUGGAGAUGAUGGAUAUAUGUAAAUCGACUAGAAUGAUGCAUAGAAUCACGUAAACAUAUUUAUUCUAAUAUUUAACAAAAAUUAAAACAUGUUAGUUCAGAUCUGGACAGAUUUCUUAAUAAACGUAUGGGGUAAUUUCGGAGAUGCUAUAAGUUAUUUCCACCUCAUUUAAAAUGCCUAGAUAGGUAGUUUAUUUGUGCUUCACCUCCUGCCAUGUUAACAACAUUUGAAAUUUACCGUGUACCUAAACGAGAGUGAACUAAAUGUUUGAAUGUGGAAUUUUGUCUAUAUGAAACUCGUUGCAUAUUGAGCUUCACUUAAUGUGUAGUAUUUAGUUAUUGCGAAUUGCCAUGCCAUGCCUUGCAUAAUUGAACUAGACAGGCAUCAUGUUAGGUUGUGGAUCAUAUCAUGCUUGUGUCGUGGUGAAUAUUGCAUGUUGAUUCUUGUUUUCGGUUUGCUUCGUCUCGGUAGAGUUCCACAAGUGUGUCAAAAUGUGAGGAUCCGUUCGACUACGUCGGUUCAUCUGCUUCUCGGAUUCGUUCUUCUACCAAGCGGGAUCACAAGCAAGAUGACCAUUUCCCUAGAUACCAUUACUGUCAAUGCCAUGCUAGUUGUCUCAUUUCUUUUAUUAUGUCUUGUUGCCUACCACCUGUUAAAUGUUAGCCUCCCAACAUUGCCAUUAAAGCCUUAUCCUGUAUACAACCUAGCAAACAACUGUUUGGACAUGUUACCGCAUGCUUAACCAUAUGAUUGUGUUGCUAGUUGCAUGUGCAGUUGCUUCCGUGUGACAUCUUGGGUUCCUUCUUAUAUCAUCAUAUUAUGGCUAAUUAAUUUAAUGGACAUAUAUUAUUGGUAAAAGGUGGAAGGCUCGGCCUUCUAGCCUGGAUUUUUUUUACCUUUGCCGCCCUAGUUUCGGCUACCAGUGUCAUAUUCCAUAAUUGAGCACUCCUAACACGCUCGGGUUUCUAUGGGGACCCCCUUGAUAAUUCAUUUUAGUUUAAAACGGGUCUAGCAAGGCCCAACUUUGGUACUAGAUUUUUCGAAUAACAAAUAAACUUGCAAAGGGACUAGUCGAACCCCGUGGAUAAUUAAUCAACCCCCAGGGCAGUUUUCUCCAUGAGUGUUGAUCCAAAUUGGCACACUAAGGGGCCACCGCGGGCCAACUCGAGGUCUGGUUUUACUUGUAGUGUUACCCACCGUCGUGUCCUAAGAACGAGAUACGUGGCUCCUAUCGGGUUCGUCGACACGUCGGGCGGCAUUGCUGGACUUGUUUUACCUUCUACGAAAUAUCUUAUGCAUAGGGAUUCCGGUGAUGCUUUGGGUUAUCUCGGAGUUGAGGUUUUCCACUAAGAAGUCCGAGGAGAUCAUGGGUUUCGUGAUCGUGGAUUUCUAUGUGGCUUGUGGUAAUUUGUGAUGGACUAGUUGGAGCACCCCUCCUUGGUUAAAUCGUUUAGAAAGUUGUUCUCGUGGUUAUGUGGCAAACUCAAAAACUUUAUUUAACAUUCGGUUCUAGAUAACUUGAAGUAAACUUAACUAAAACUUGCCAACCGUGUGUGUAACCGUGACAGUCUCUUCUCGUGAAAUCUGUAGCCGGAAGAGGACACAGUGGGGUUAUGUCUGACGUAAGUAGGUGUUCAGGAUCAUUCAUUUGAACAUUAUUAGUUCACGUCCGAUUAUGCAUAGAUCAUCCACCUCUUAUUCUUGUACUCGUAAGGUAGCCACUCAAAUAAAUGCUUAGUCGCUUGCUGCAGGUUCACCAUGUAACCAUGCCUCACCCAUUAAGAUUUGCUAGUCUUGAUACCUUUGCAAAUGAGAUUGUUGAGUCCAUGUGGCACAAAGAUUACUACAACACGAGUUGGAGGUACAGGUAAAGUGAUAUUAUGACGUGAGUGUGAUGAUUGUGCUUUUGGAGUUUCUUCUUCUUCUUCUCCGAUCUAGGAUGGGUUCCAGGCCGGCAGCCUAGGAUAGCAAGGAUCAACCUCAUUCUUUUAUUGUUUGUUUUCGUCCAUGGUCGGACCCUGCUCUUCUUCAUGAUGAUUGUAUAUUGUUGUAUUGAUGUGAACUUGAUGUAGCUUGUGGCGAGUGUAAGCCAAUUCCAUAUACUCACCUAUUCUAUACAUGUACUUGUAACGAUAUCCAUUCUUGCAAAACGACAGGAUGCACUCCCUGUCGAGGCCCUCAUGCCAAAAUAAUGGUAGGAUCACAUCUUGGGAGUUAUAAGUUGGUAUCAGAGCAGUACCGACCUAGGAGCCCUCUUGAUUGACCGAACUUGGACGAGUCAAGUCUAGUUAAAAACUACUUUGAGUCUAGUUAUAUAUCGGAGAGUAGGAUUCUUUUUUCUCCUCUUCUAUGCUCUAGUGAGGAAUAUUGAUGUAAUAUUUUUAAUUCUACUCCUCUUCUCACUCAAAAAGAAUUUAGGACCACGCGGGUAUUUCGGAAGCUAUAUGAUGUCGAUGUGAUGGAAUUAUGUCUUGGUGCCUCCUAUUUGACUUGAUUUCUUCCGGGGAGUUGAGCUCUAGGGGAUUCUUGAGCACAUUGUUAUCAUUCAGAUUUCUUAGUAUCUUAGGGAAGUGGAUGUUCGAAAUUGCUUCAAUAUAGUAGUGGCGAUAGGAGUCCGACAUCCCCAGUACUGGUGGAGAGAGUUCGGAUGUACUUCCAUACUUAGUAUCGUUGUGUUUUCAAGGGUCUAAGAUAGAUGAGUUUCCGAUAUCUCUGGUUAUGUGUUGACGGAUGUGAUACACUAGACGGGUUAGUGUUACUGCUAGGAGUUGAUUGAUGGAUUUUACUCCUUGUAUCCGUGGACCCGAUUGUAUGACAAGAAAUUUCAGGAGUUCUUAGGUUGGAAUUCAAGUAGUUACCUAUAAGACAAUCUUCCAACAGAUGCAUGAUGUGAGGUUGGGGUUCGACAUCUAGUGGAUUCGUUUGUUCACGAUCGUAUUCACACAGGACAGUCUCGAUAUAUGUCAUCAGUAUGCUUCGACAAGUCUUGUAGUUCGCUAUGCCUAGGGAGCAUAUUCGAGUGUAAUUUCAAUAUGACAAUACAAUGUACGAUCGAGCCCGUGCGAUCCUAUCCACGAAAAUAUCGAGUGGAAUCUCUGUCAUAUGUUUGUGUUGGCUAAUUUCCAAGCCUCGUCAUUUGUUUUGUUGGGGUAUGGUAAUUCAAGUUGCUUCGAUGUCAAGUGGUGAAUUCAUUAUUCCAAGAGGUGUUCUCAUACUUUAUAUGAGAGUGCAAAUUCUUUUGCUCAUUGAAAUUGUCUUAUCAAUUCUUUUCAACCGGAGUCGUCAUGUCAGUUCUUUUAAUCCGAAGUGCUUCUCUUCAAGUCAAUUCAAACCUCUCAAUGUUGCUAUAUCAAUCUCUCAUUUCUUUCCAGAGUUUGUCUCAUCUAUCCCAAGUUGUCUUUGUUUUUCCCUGCCCUCCCACCCUUCUAUUCAAUGAUUCAAUUUUCUACUAAGUGCCUUUUUGUUCAUUGUUGCUUUGGUAUUUUUUUUAUUCUAUAUCGUAACCAAUGAUUCAUUGUGAAGAUUUUCACAGGUUUCAGUUCAUCAUUCUUCUCAAUUGUUAUCUCUUCGUUCGUCUCUCAAUUAUCCCAGUGCCUUGUUCAAGUUUUCUCUCAAGAGGAUCAUGAUCUCCUUGUUCUCUUGUAUCUCCAUUCAUUCUUGGCAUCCUCAUUCAUUUGUGAAUUCUUACCGGUGCCUUGUUCAAGCAUUCUCUAAUCAAAUCUUUCUCUUUUGUUCUCAUGCACCCCAGUUCAUUUGUAGUAUCCUCUUUCAUUCCAAAUUCAUACUGGUGUUUCUUUCAAGAGUUCUUCAAGUGAUGCCUUAUCUAUCUCCCUCUUUAAGUUUUUUUUCAAGAAGAAUAAGUGAUAUGCCAAAUCCGUUGCUUGUCACCAAUUUAACUUGAUGAAGGAUGAGCAUAACAUAAUUAUCAUUCUUUUGUUUCAUCAAGGUGAUUUCAGUUCUUCUUCUGUAGUGGCUCAUGAUAUCAAUUUUCCAUUCAAUGUUGUUCAUCUCAUUUUUCCGGAGUUCCAAGUUUUCUCAAACAUCUCUUCAUGAAUCUUCAUCUAAAUCAUUGUAAGGCCUUUAAUCUUAUUCUUUCAUCCUUUCAUUCUAGUGUUCUUCAAGUGGUUUUCAUGAUGGUCCUUCAAUUUUUCAAUUAAUUCUCAAAGUGUCUUCAAGAUUCUUUUGGUAGUACCUAAGUGUUCGUAUCUUGUAUUUCAAAGUGCAAUUCUUCCUCCAUUUUCCUUUGAGGUGGUGUUAUAGCAUUCUUGUUAGUGGAAGAGUCUCGAAGGGAAGUUGUUUCAAGAAUGAGAUAACUAACCCCACCUAAUCCUUUGAUCAUGAGAUAUUUUAAGCCAGGGUUUCUUCAUUGAGUUAUCUGGGUUUAGAUUUCAUCCAAAGCUAUGUCUAAGGAUUGUUGCUAUUAUGGUGAUUAUCUUGAUCCAAGUGCUCAAUGUAUCCUCUUGGUAUAAGAUGGUUUGCAUGUUUUGCUCCCAAGCUAUCUUUGUUUCUCUUAGUGGUCGGUUGUCAACUCAUUAUUUGAGAUGUUUUUCAUAAGUCCACAACAAGCUUGUUCUUUUCGUUUUUGUUUUCCAACAACUCCGUUCUAUCCUUCUUGUAAGAUGCUUCUCAAAUUCAAUUGUGGUGAAAAUUGUCAUUUUCUUCUCUAUUCUCUUCUUCUCAAUGAUCUAGUUCCUAUUCAUUUGUUCCAGAGGCCUUGUGAUGUUGCUCCCUUUCAUUCAUGACCUUCUCUCAUCAAGCUCAUACUCUUUCAUGGCUUAUCUAUUUAGUUUGUUUGUUGUGAAUCUUUUCAAGAUCAUUCCAUCUUGUUGAAUUUGUUCCAACUUUCCUACUGAAGUGCUGCCGAAAUUUUGUUUGAAUUCUUGAUUGUUUCUCAUAUCAUUCUUCAUCUCUUUGUGACCUUCAAGGGUUGUUGGUUUCACUCAUUUGUCAAAGAAGCGACUAAGUUUUACAUUUUGCUCUUUCUUUUCCUCUUCCCCUUUCAUUCUUAGAUCUCGGGGAGAGAUCUCUUGUUAGUGUAGGAGAGUUGUAACAGCCCAAGACCGACGCGCCAAAAGAUUCCCCUUUUAUUUCGUUGUCGCCAUGUGUUUUAUUUGGUUCUCGCAUUCAUCAUCAGAUCAUCCGCAUUGCAUCGGCAUUCCGUUGCCGCCAGUUUUCAAAACAUGCAUCCGUUAGUAGUUGCCGAUUCUCUUCAUUUUGUCGUUGACCGUUUCGAGACCAACCACACACGCACGCGCCCACGACAUCAUUAAAAUAUUGAUUUUAAACAUGUGUACAAAAUAUUCUCGGAUUGGGUUGAAACUUGGCGUGCGGUCUUAUUUUAAUAUAGGUAGACCGCGUGACAAAUUUCGUCGCAAUCAGAGGUCGUGUGAUGCCCGAACUGUCGACCGUAGCGGCACCGUCAUCUAUCAUCGUAUGUUUUUUGUUGUUUAAAAUCUCAUUCUGCGGCCACAAAUCUCCCUCUCUUCUCAGCCCAACCUAUUCUACACGGCCGAACACCACCCACCUAUCCUACCCCUCCGUUUCGGACCGUCCGAUCGAGAUCACACGGUCCGAAAACGGCGCAAGACCCCUACCCUAAUCCCACAUGUUUUAAACAGAUGCCAACCCUAAAUUCUAGGAAGCUUGUCCCAAUCCAUCCCCUCAGCCGUCGCCACCUGUUGUCUCCCACCUCGAGAUCCUGCAGAUGCAAACCGAGCGAACCACAGAGCCUCUUCUCCCGAUUCCAUCCAUGCAAUCCGCAACUCCUCCUCCAACCUAGUGCCUCCCCUCACUAGCUACAGCAAACGCCCGAGUUGGCCAGCUCGAUGGAGCAGGAGGAUCCCGAGCUCCUCGAGUGCGCACCUCACCAGAACCCCACGCCAGACAAUAUAGCUCGACCCGCAGGAGCAGCACCAGCCUGCAACCACCCGACCCCACAGGACCUUGCGUUCCCGAAGACCGGCAGCUCGAGGUCGUCGUGCCUUGGCAAUCUUUCUCCUUCCCUCUGUCCUCUUCUCUCAAUCUCCCUCUCCUGCUUAUGUUCACCUGCCUCUCCCGCAGGGAACACCCAUGGAUGGCAGCCCAAGCUUCUGGUGGACGCAGCAGCCAGAGCCUCAUCCACAACCAGAUAUGGCAAGCCGUGCUACCUCGGACCCGUUCACGAUGCUCUCACGCCGUUCCUCGCCGUAGACCUGUUGGGGAACGUCGCAUGGGAAACAAAAAUUUUCCUACGCGCACGAAGACCUAUCAUGGUGAUGUCCAUCUACGAGAGGGGAUGAGUGAUCUACGUACCCUUGUAGACCGUACAACAUAAGCGUUAGAGAACGCGGUUGAUGUAGUGGAACGUCCUCACGUCCCUCGAUCCGCCCCGCGAACAAUCCCGCGAUCAGUCCCACGAUCUAGUACCGAACGGACGGCACCUCCGCGUUCAGCACACGUACAGCUCGACGAUGAUCUCGGCCUUCUUGAUCCAGCAAGAGAGACGGACAGGUAGAAGAGUUCUCCGGCAGCGUGACGGCGUUCCGGAGGUUGGUGAUGACCUUGUCUCAGCAGGGCUCCGCCCGAGCUCCGCAGAAACACGAUCUAGAGGAAAAACCGUGGAGGUAUGUGGUCGGGCUGCCGUGGAAAAGUCGUCUCAAAUCAGCCCUANGCGAUCAGUCCCACGAUCUAGUACCGAACGGACGGCACCUCCGCGUUCAGCACACGUACAGCUCGACGAUGAUCUCGGCCUUCUUGAUCCAGCAAGAGAGACGGACAGGUAGAAGAGUUCUCCGGCAGCGUGACGGCGUUCCGGAGGUUGGUGAUGACCUUGUCUCAGCAGGGCUCCGCCCGAGCUCCGCAGAAACACGAUCUAGAGGAAAAACCGUGGAGGUAUGUGGUCGGGCUGCCGUGGAAAAGUCGUCUCAAAUCAGCCCUAAAACCUCCGUAUAUAUAGGUGGGAGGGAGGGGGCCUUGCCUUGGGGCUCAAGGAGCCCCAAGGGGGUCGGCCGAGUCCAAGGGGGAGGACUCUCCCCCCCAAACCGAGUUGGACUAGGUUUGGUGGGAGGGAGUCCCCCUUCCUUCCCACCUCCUCCUUUUUUUUCUUUCUCUCUUGAUUUUCUUCUCCUUGGCGCAUAGGGCACUUGUGGGCUGUCCCACCAGCCCACUAAGGGCUGGUGUGUCUCCCUCAAGGCCUAUGGGCUUCCCCGGGGUGGGUUGCCCCCCCGGUGAACUCCCGGAACCCAUUCGUCAUUCCCGGUACAUUCCCGGUAACUUCGAAAACCUUCCAGUAAUCAAAUUAGGUCAUCCUAUAUAUCAAUCUUCGUUUCCGGACCAUUCCGGAAACCGUCGUGACGUCCAUGAUCUCAUCCGAGACUCCGAACAACAUUCGGUAACCAACCAUAUAACUCAAAUACGCAUAAAACAACGUCGAACCUUAAGUGUGCAGACCCUGCGGGUUCGAGAACUAUGUAGACAUGACCCGAGAGACUCCUCGGUCAAUAUCCAAUAGCGGGACCUGGAUGCCCAUAUUGGAUCCUACAUAUUCUACGAAGAUCUUAUCGUUUGAACCUCAGUGCCAAGGAUUCGUAUAAUCCCGUAUGUCAUUCCCUUUGUCCUUCGGUAUGUUACUUGCCCGAGAUUCGAUCGUCAGUAUCCGCAUACCUAUUUCAAUCUCGUUUACCGGCAAGUCUCUUUACUCGUUCCGUAAUACAAGAUCCCGCAACUUACACUAAGUUACAUUGCUUGCAAGGCUUGUGUGUGAUGUUGUAUUACCGAGUGGGCCCCGAGAUACCUCUCCGUCACACGGAGUGACAAAUCCCAGUCUUGAUCCAUAUUAACUCAACCAACACCUUCGGAGAUACCUGUAGAGCAUCUUUAUAGUCACCCAGUUACGUUGCGACGUUUGAUACACACAAAGCAUUCCUCCGGUGUCAGUGAGUUAUAUGAUCUCAUGGUCAUAGGAAUAAAUACUUGACACGCAGAAAACAGUAGCAACAAAAUGACACGAUCAACAUGCUACAUCUAUUAGUUUGGGUCUAGUCCAUCACGUGAUUCUCCCAAUGACGUGAUCCAGUUAUCAAGUAACAACACCUUGUUCAUAAUCAGAAGACACUGACUAUCAUCGAUCAACUGGCUAGCCAACUAGAGGCAUGCUAGGGAUGGUGUUUUGUCUAUGUAUCCACACAUGUAAAUGAGUCUUCAUUCAAUACAAUUAUAGCAUGGAUAAUAGACUAUUAUCUUGAUACAGGAAUUAUAAUAAUAACUAUAUUUAUUAUUGCCUCUAGGGCAUAAUUCCAACAGUCUCCCACUUGCACUAGAGUCAAUAAUCUAGCCCUCACAUCACCAUGUGAAUUACAUUGUAAUAAAUCUAACACCCAUACAGUUUUGGUGUCGAUCAUGUUUUGGCCGUGGAAGAGGUUUAGUCAGCGGGUCUGCUACAUUUAGAUCCGUGUGCACUUUGCAUAUAUUUACGUCCUCUUCCUCGACGUAGUCGCGGAUGAGGUUGAAGCGUCGUUUGAUGUGUCUGGUCUUCUUGUGAAACCGUGGUUCCUUUCCUAAGGCAAUGGCACCCGUGUUGUCACAGAACAAGGUUAUUGGAUCCAGUGCCCUUGGCACCACUCCAAGAUUCGUCAUGAACUGCUUCAUCCAGACACCCUCCUUAGCCGCCUCCGAGGCAGCCAUGUACUCCGCUUCACAUGUAGAAUCUGCUACGACGCUUUGCUUGGAACUGCACCAGCUUACUGAACCCCCAUUAAGAAUAAAUACGUAUCCGGUUUGCGACUUAGAGUCGUCCGGAUCUGUGUCAAAGCUUGCAUCGACGUAACCUUUUACGGCGAGCUCUUCGUCACCUCCAUACACGAGAAACAUCUCCUUAGUCCUUUUCAGGUACUUCAGGAUAUUCUUGACCGCUGUCCAGUGAUCCACUCCUGGAUUACUCUGGAACCUACCUGCCAUACUUAUGGCCAGGCUAACAUCCGGUCUAGUGCACAACAUCGCAUACAUGAUAGAACCUAUGGCUGAAGCAUAGGGUACGGAGCGCAUAUGCUCUCUAUUUUCAUCAGUUGCUGGGCACUGAGUCUUACUCAAUCUCGUACCUUGUAAAACUGGCAAGAACCCUUUCUUGGACUGUUCCAUUUUGAACCUCUUCAAAACUUUAUCAAGGUAUGUGCUUUGUGAAAGUCCUAUCAGGCGUUUUGAUCUAUCCCUAUAGAUCUUAAUGCCUAGAAUGUAAGCAGCUUCUCCUAGGUCCUUCGUAGAGAAACUUUUAUUCAAGUAACCUUUUAUGAUCUCCAAAAGCUCUAUGUUGUUUCCAAUCAGUAAUAUGUCAUCCACAUAUAAUAUUAGAAACGCCACAGAGCUCCCACUCACUUUCUUGUAAAUACAAGAUUCUCCAACCACUUGUAUAAACCCAAAUGCCUUGAUCACCUCAUCAAAGCGUUUGUCCAACUCCGAGAUGCUUGCACCAGUCCAUAAAUGGAUCGCUGGAGCUUGCACACCUUGUUAGCAUUCUUAGGAUCGACAAAACCUUCGGGUUGCAUCAUAUACAACUCUUCCUUAAGGAAACCGUUAAGGAACGCCGUUUUGACACCCAUCUGCCAGAUUUCAUAAUCGAAAAAUGCAGCUAUUGCUAACAUGAUUCUGACGGACUUAAGCAUUGCUACGGGUGAGAAAGUCUCAUCGUAGUCAAUUCCUGGAACUUGUGAAAAACCCUUUGCCACAAGUCGAGCUUUAUAAACGGUCACAUUACCGUCAGCGUCUGUCUUCUUCUUAAAGAUCCAUUUGUUCUGAAUAGCCUUGCGGCCCUCAGGUAGUAUCUCCAAAGUCCACACUUUGUUCUCGUACAUGGAUCCUAUCUCGGAUUUCAUGGCUUCUAGCCAUUUGUUGGAAUCUGGACCCACCAUUGCUUCUUCAUAAUUUGCAGGUUCAUUGUUGUCCAACAACAUGAUUGAUAAGACGGGAUUACCGUACCACUCUGGAGCAGCGCGUGAUCUCGUCGACCUCCGUGGUUCAACAGAAACUUGAACUGGAGUUUCAUGAUCAUCAUCAUUAACUUCCUCCUCAACCGGCGUCGCAACGACAGAGGUUUCCCCUUGCCCUGCGCCACCAUCCAGAGGGAUGAGAGGUUCGACAACCUCGUCAAGUUCUAUCUUCCUCCCACUCAAUUCUCUCGAGAGAAACUCCUUCUCGAGAAAAGUUCCGUUCUUAGCAACAAACACUUUGCCCUCGGAUUUGAGAUAGAAGGUGUACCCAACUGUCUCUUUUGGGUAACCUAUGAAGAAGCAUUUUUCCACUUUGGGUUCCAGCUUUUCAGGCUGAAGCUUUUUGACAUAAGCAUCACAUCCCCAAACUUUAAGAAACGACAACUUUGGCCUUUUGCCAUACCACAGUUCGUAUGGUGUCGUCUCAACGGAUUUUGAUGGUGCCCUACUUAAAGUGAAUGCAGCUGUUUCUAAUGCAUAACCCCAAAAUGAUAACGGCAAAUCAGUAAAAGACAUCAUAGAUCGCACCAUCUCUAACAAAGUACGAUUACGACGUUCGGACACACCAUUACACUGUGGUGUUCCAGGCGGUGUUAACUGUGAAACAAUUCCACAUUGUCUUAAGUGAGCACCAAACUCGAAACUCAGAUAUUCACCCCCACGAUCAGACCGUAGGAACUUGAUCUUCUUGUUACGAUGAUUUUCCACUUCACUCUGAAAUUGCUUGAACUUUUCAAAUGUUUCAGACUUGUGCUUCAUCAAGUAGACAUAACCAUAUCUACUUAAAUCGUCAGUGAAGGUGAGAAAAUAACGAUAUCCGCCGCGUGCCUCCACGCUCAUUGGACCACACACAUCGGUAUGUAUGAUUUCCAAUAAGUCACUUGCACGCUCCAUUGUUCCGGAGAACGGAGUCUUAGUCAUUUUGCCCAUGAGGCAUGGUUCGCACGUGUCAAGUGAAUCAAAGUCAAGUGACUCAAAAAGUCCAUCAGCAUGGAGUUUCUUCAUGCGUUUUACACGAAUAUGACCCAAGCGGCAGUGCCACAAAAAUAUGGCGCUAUCAUUGUUUACUCUAACUCUUUUGGUCUCAAUGUUAUGUAUAUGCGUAUCGUUAUCAAGAUUCAUUAUGAAAAAUCCUCUCACAUUCGGUGCAUGACCAUAAAAGAUGUUACUCAUAGAAAUAGAACAACCAUUAUUCUCAGACUUAAAAGAGUAACCGUCUCGCAAUAAACAAGAUCCAGAUAUAAUGUUCAUGCUCAACGCAGGCACUAAAUAACAAUGAUUUAAGUUCAUCACUAAUCCCGAUGGUAGCUGAAGUGACACUGUGCCGACGGCGAUUGCAUCAACCUUGGAACCAUUUCCUACGCGCAUCGUCACUUCGUCUUUCGCCAGCCUUCGUCUAUUCCGCAGUUCCUGCUUCGAGUUGCAAAUAUGAGCAACAGAACCGGUAUCGAAUACCCAGGCACUACUACGAGAGCCGGUUAAGUACACAUCAAUAACAUGUAUAUCAAAUAUACCUGAUUUUUCUUUGCCCGCCUUCUUAUCUGCCAGAUACUUGGGGCAAUUGCGCUUCCAGUGACCCAUACCCUUGCAAUAGAAACACUCCGUUUCAGGCUUAGGUCCAGCCUUGGGUUUCUUCGGCGGAUUGGCAACAGGCUUGCCGCUCUUCUUCGAAUUGCCCUUCUUGCCUUUGCCGUUUCUCUUGAAACUAGUGGUCUUAUUCACCAUCAACACUUGAUGCUCUUUACGGAGUUCAAACUCUGCGACUUUCAACGUCGCAAACAACUCGCCGGGAGACUUGUUCAUCCCUUGCAUGUUGUAGUUCAACACAAAGCCUUUGUAGCUUGGCGGCAGUGAUUGAAGGAUUCUGUGAGUGAUAGCUUCUUGCGGGAGUUCAAUCCCCAGCUCAGUUAGACGGUUUGAGUACCCAGACAUUUUGAGCACAUGUUCACUGACAGACGAGUUUUCCUCCAUCUUGCAAGCAUAGAAUUUAUCGGAGGUCUCAUACCUCUCGAUCCGGGCGUUCUUCUGAAAGAUAAACUCCAACUCCUGGAACAUCUCAAAUGCUCCAUGACGCUCAAAGCGACGUUGAAGUCCCGGUUCUAAGCCAUACAAGACUGCACAUUGAACUAUUGAGUAGUCCUCCUUACGUGCUAACCAAGCGUUCUUAACAUCCUGAUCAGCGGUAGCGGGUGGUUCAUCUCCUAGCGCAGCAUUAAGGACAUAAUCCUUCUUCCCAGCUUGUAAGAUUAGCUUAAGAUUACGAGCCCAGUCUACAAAGUUGCUUCCAUCAUCUUUCAACUUAGCUUUCUCUAGGAACGUAUUAAAAUUCAGGAUGACUGUCGCGUGAGCCAUGAUCUACAACACAAAUAUAUUCAAAGUGGACUUAGACUAUGUUCAAGAUAAUUAGAGUUCAACUUAAUCAAAUUAUAUGCUAAACUCCCACUCAAAAAGUACAUCUCUCUAGUCGUUUGAGUGGUUCAUGAUCCACUUACACUAUCCCAAGUCCGAUCAUCACGAGAGUUGAGUAUAGUUUCAGUGGUAAGCAUCCCUAUGCUAAUCAUAUCAACUAUAUGAUUCAUGAUCGACCUUUCGGUCUCAUGUGUUCCGAGGCCAUGUCUGCACAUGCUAGGCUCGUCAAGCUUAACCCGAGUGUUCCGCGUGCGCAACUGUUUUGCACCCGUCGUAUGUGAACGUUGAGUCUAUCACACCCGAUCAUCACGUGGUGUCUCGAAACGACGAACUGUAGCAACGGUGCACGGUCGGGGAGAACACAAUUUCGUCUUGAUAUUUUAGUGAGAGAUCACCUCAUAAUGCUACCGUCGUUCUAAGCAAAAUAAGGUGCAUAAAAGGAUUAACAUCACAUGCAAUUCAUAAGUGACAUGAUAUGGCCAUCAUCACGUGCUUCUUGAUCUCCAUCACCAAAGCACCGGCACGAUCUUCUUGUCACCGGCGCCACACCAUGAUCAUCCAUCAACGUGUUGCCAUUGGGGUUGUCGUGCUACUUAUGCUAUUACUACUAAAGCUACAUCCUAGCAAAAUAGUAAACGCAUCUACAAGCACAAACGUUAGUAUAAAGACAACCCUAUGGCUCCUGCCGGUUGCCGUACCAUCGACGUGCAAGUCGAUAUUUCUAUUACAACAUGAUCAUCUCAUACAUCCAAUAUAUCACAUCACAUCGUUGGCCAUAUCACAUCACAACCAUACCCUGCAAAAACAAGUUAGACGUCCUCUAAUUUUGUUGUUGCAUGUUUUACGUGGUGACCAAGGGUAUCUAGUAGGAUCGCAUCUUACUUACGCAAACACCACAACGGAGAUAUAUGAGUUGCUAUUUAACCUCAUUCAAGGACCUCCUCGGUCAAAUCCGAUUCAACUAAAGUUGGAGAAACCGACACUUGCCAGUCAUCUUUGAGCAAAGGGGGUUACUCGUAACGAUGAAACCAGUCUCUCGUAAGCGUACGAGUAAUGUCGGUCCAAGCCGCUUCAAUCCAACAAUACCGCGGAAUCAAGAAAAGACUAAGGAGGGCAGCAAAACGCACAUCACCGCCCACAAAAACUUUUGUGUUCUACUCGAGAAGAAAUCUACGCAUGAACCUAGCUCAUGAUGCCACUGUUGGGGAACGUCGCAUGGGAAACAAAAAUUUUCCUACGCGCACGAAGACCGAUCAUGGUGAUGUCCAUCUACGAGAGGGGAUGAGUGAUCUACGUACCCUUGUAGACCGUACAGCAGAAGCGUUAGAGAACGCGGUUGAUGUAGUGGAACGUCCUCACGUCCCUCGAUCCGCCCCGCGAACAAUCCCGCGAUCAGUCCCACGAUCUAGUACCGAACGGACGGCACCUCCGCGUUCAGCACACGUACAGCUCGACGAUGAUCUCGGCCUUCUUGAUCCAGCAACAGAGACGGAGAGGUAGAAGAGUUCUCCGGCAGCGUGACGGCGUUCCGGAGGUUGGUGAUGACCUUGUCUCAGCAGGGCUCCGCCCGAGCUCCGCAGAAACGCGAUCUAGAGGAAAAACCGUGGAGGUAUGUGGUCGGGCUGCCGUGGAAAAGUCGUCUCAAAUCAGCCCUAAAACCCCCGUAUAUAUAGGUGGGAGGGAGGGGGCCUUGCCUUGGGGCUCAAGGAGCCCCAAGGGGGUCGGCCGAGUCNAGAGACGGAGAGGUAGAAGAGUUCUCCGGCAGCGUGACGGCGUUCCGGAGGUUGGUGAUGACCUUGUCUCAGCAGGGCUCCGCCCGAGCUCCGCAGAAACGCGAUCUAGAGGAAAAACCGUGGAGGUAUGUGGUCGGGCUGCCGUGGAAAAGUCGUCUCAAAUCAGCCCUAAAACCCCCGUAUAUAUAGGUGGGAGGGAGGGGGCCUUGCCUUGGGGCUCAAGGAGCCCCAAGGGGGUCGGCCGAGUCCAAGGGGGAGGACUCUCCCCCCCAAACCGAGUUGGACUAGGUUUGGUGGGAGGGAGUCCCCCUUCCUUCCCACCUCCUCCUUUUUUUUCUUUCUCUCUUGAUUUUCUUCUCCUUGGCGCAUAGGGCACUUGUGGGCUGUCCCACCAGCCCACUAAGGGCUGGUGUGUCUCCCUCAAGGCCUAUGGGCUUCCCCGGGGUGGGUUGCCCCCCCGGUGAACUCCCGGAACCCAUUCGUCAUUCCCGGUACAUUCCCGGUAACUUCGAAAACCUUCCGGUAAUCAAAUUAGGUCAUCCUAUAUAUCAAUCUUCGUUUACGGACCAUUCCGGAAACCGUCGUGACGUCCAUGAUCUCAUCCGAGACUCCGAACAAUAUUCGGUAACCAACUAUAUAACUCAAAUACGCAUAAAACAACGUCGAACCUUAAGUGUGCAGACCCUGCGGGUUCGAGAACUAUGUAGACAUGACCCGAGAGACUCCUCGGUCAAUAUCCAAUAGCGGGACCUGGAUGCCCAUAUUGGAUCCUACAUAUUCUACGAAGAUCUUAUCGUUUGAACCUCAGUGCCAAGGAUUCGUAUAAUCCCGUAUGUCAUUCCCUUUGUCCUUCGGUAUGUUACUUGCCCGAGAUUCGAUCGUCAGUAUCCGCAUACCUAUUUCAAUCUCGUUUACCGGCAAGUCUCUUUACUCGUUCCGUAAUACAAGAUCCCGCAACUUACACUAAGUUACAUUGCUUGCAAGGCUUGUGUGUGAUGCUGUAUUACCGAGUGGGCCCCGAGAUACCUCUCCGUCACACGGAGUGACAAAUCCUAGUCUUGAUCCAUAUUAACUCAACCAACACCUUCGGAGAUACCUGUAGAGCAUCUUUAUAGUCACCCAGUUACGUUGCGACGUUUGAUACACACAAAGCAUUCCUCCGGUGUCAGUGAGUUAUAUGAUCUCAUGGUCAUAGGAAUAAAUACUUGACAUGCAGAAAACAGUAGCAACAAAAUGACACGAUCAACAUGCUACGUCUAUUAGUUUGGGUCUAGUCCAUCACGUGAUUCUCCCAAUGACGUGAUCCAGUUAUCAAGUAACAACACCUUGUUCAUAAUCAGAAGACACUGACUAUCAUCGAUCAACUGGCUAGCCAACUAGAGGCAUGCUAGGGAUGGUGUUUUUUCUAUGUAUCCACACAUGUAAAUGAGUCUUCAUUCAAUACAAUUAUAGCAUGGAUAAUAAACUAUUAUCUUGAUAUAGGAAUUAUAAUAAUAACUAUAUUUAUUAUUGCCUCUAGGGCAUAAUUCCAACAAGACCGGACCGAGCACCAGAGCUCCGCCCCCACCUCUCCGUGUCGUCGGCAACCGCGUCGCGCUGCCCAGGCCUGGCGCCGCCAUGGCCUGCUGGACCUCGAUCCCCUCCACCGCGCCAAUCCCCGACAGGAUCCCGCAUGGAGCAGGUCUGUGCCCUUGACAUCCUCCAUGGUUGCUCUCUGUUGUUGUUGUGUGCGAUUGGGGAGAUGAAGACCCGCGCUUUGUCUACUAUAGGUCCCUCGACUAGUAGACCACAACAUCAACCAAAACCUAGCUGGAUAGCACCACUCUGUUCCAUCCGAGGGAUCUGUGAUUCGAAUCGCAAGUUCCCCUAUUUUGUUUUGCAUUUUUCUGUUGUUUUGUAAGUCAACGCCGGCCUCUCCUAGUUCAGCUAGAUUUGGUCUGUCUAUCGAACAGAUUCAGUCACUAGUCCUACUGGUUAGCGUAUCACGUUUGCAACCAGGAGGUACUGGGUUUGGAAUUAUUUUGUUUUGCAUUUUUCUGUUGUUCUGUAAGUCAACACCGGCUGCUCCUAGUUCAACUAGAUUUGGUCUGUCAAUUGAACACAUUCAGUCACUAGUCCUACUGGUUAGCGUACAAUUUUUGCCAUGUUUAUAUUUUUUCGUUCUGCACACACACACAUUGCAUACAUGUUGCAUUCAAAGUAUAUGAUUUUGUGUUGUUCGUAGCUAAUUAAUCGUAGCUCCGUUGGAGAUGAUCGAUAUAUGUAAAUCGACUAGAAUGACGCGUAGAAUUACGUGAACCUCUUUGUUCUACUGUUUAACAAACAUUAAAACAUGUUUGUUCAGAUCUAGACAGAUUUCUUUAUUAACAUAUGUGGUCAUUUCAAAUAUGUUAUAAGUUGUUUCCAACCUCAUUGAAAAUUCCGAGAUAGGUAGUUUAUUUGUGCUCCACCUCCUGCCACGUUAACAACAUUUUAAAAUUAUCGUGGACCUAAACGAGAGUGAACUAAAUGUUUGAAUGUGGAGUUUCGUCAAUAUAAAACUCGUUGCAUGUUGAGCUUCACUUAAUGUGUAGUGUUUGAUUGUUGUGAAUUUCCAUGCCAUGCCUUGUAUAAUUGAAAUGGACAUGCAUCAUGUUAGGUUGUGCAUCAUAUCAUGCAUGUGUCGUGGUGAAUAUUGCGUGUUGAUUCUUGUUUCUGGUUUGCUUCAUUUCGAUAGAGUUCUGCAAGCGAGUCGGAAUGUGAGGAUCCGUUUGACUACGUCGGUUCAUCUGCUUCACGGAUUUGUUUUUCUACCAGGCGGGAUCACACGCAAGAUGACCAUUUCCCUAGAUACCAUUACUGUCAAUGCAAUGCUACUUUUCUCAUUUUUUUCAUUAUGUCUCGCUGGCUACCACCUGUUAAAUGUCAGCCUACCAACAUUGCCAUGAAAGCCUUAUCAUGUCUACAACAUAGCAAACCACUGUUUGUCCAUGUUACCGCUUGCUUAACCAAAUGAUAGCGUUGCUAGUUGCAGGUGUAGUUGCUUCCAUGUGACAUCAUGUGUUCCUUGUUAUAUCAUCGCAUUAUGGCUAGUUAAUUUAAUGGACCUAUAUACUUGGUGAAAAGGUGGAAGGCUCAACCUUCUAGCCUGGUGUUUUGUUCCAUCUUUGCCGCCCUAGUUUCGGCUACCGGUGUUAUAGUCCAUAAUUUAGCGCUCCUAGCAUGCUCGGGGUUGUUAUCGGACCUCGUUGAUAAUUCGUUUUAGUUCAAAACUGGUCUGGCAAGGACAAACUUUGGUACUACAUUUGCCUAAUAACUAAUAAACUUUCAUAGGGACCACCCUCGUGGAUAAUUAAUCAAGCCUCAGUCCAGUGCUCCACAUGAGUGUUGGUCCAAACUGGUGAACUACGGGGCCACCAUGGGGCAACUCGAGGUCUGGUUUUACUCGUAGUGUGACCCAUCCGUCGUGUCCUGAGAACGAGACGCGCCGCUCCUAUCGGGUUCAUCGACAUGUUAGGCAGCCUUGCUGGGCUUAUUUUACCUUUUACGAAAUAUCUUGUGCAUCGGGAUUCUGGUGAUGCUUUGGGUUAUCUCAUAGUUGAGGUUUUCCUGUAAGGAAUCCGAGGAGAUCACGAGUUUCGUGAUCGAGGCUUUCUAUGCGGCUUGUGGUAAUUUGUGAUGGACUAGUUAGAGCACCCCUGCAGGGUUAAAUCUUGCAGAAAGCCGUCCUCACGGUUAUGAGGGAAACUUGGAAACUUUCUUUAACAUCCAGUUCUAGAUAACUUGAAGUAAACUUAAUUAAAACUUCUCAACCGUGUGCAUAACCGUGACUGUCUCUUCUCGUGAGUUCUGUAUCCGGAAGAGGACACAGUGGGGUUAUGUAUGACGUAAGUAGGUGUUCAGGAUCAUUCAUUUGAUCAUUAUUAGUUCACAUCUAAUUAUGCGUAGGUCAUCCGCCUCUUAUUCUUGUACUCGUAAGCUAGUCACUCAAAUAAAUGCUUAGUCGCUUGCUGCAGGCUCACCACUUAACCAUGCCUCACCCAUUAAGAUUUUCUAGUCUUGAUACCUUUGGAAAUGAGAUAGUUGAGUCCCUAUGGCUCACAGAUUACUACAAAACCAAUCGCAGGUACAGGUAAAGUGAUAUUACGACGUGAGUGUGAUGAUUGUGCUUUUGGAGUUUCUUCUUCUUCAUCAUCGACCUAAGAUGGGUUCCAUGCCGGCUGCCUACGAUAGCAAGGAUGGACCUAAUUCUUUUAUCAUUUGUUUUCGUAUGUAGUUGGACCCUACUCUUCUUCAUGAUGACUGUAUAUUGUUGUAUUGAUGUGAACUUGAUGUAGCUUGUGGCGAGUGUAAGCCAAUUCCAUAUACUUAUCUAUUCUGUACAUGUACUUGUAACGAUAUCCAUUCUUGCAAAAUGACGAGAUGUGCUUCUAUCCCUAUCGAGGUCCUCGUACCAAAAUAAGGGUAGGAUCGCAUCUUGGGCGUUACGCUCGGGCUGUUACAACUCUCCUACACUAACAAGAGAUCUCGAUCCAAGAUCUAGGAAUGCAAGGGGAAGAGAAAGAGCAAGAGUAAUAGGUAAAAUUUAGUCACGUCUUGACAAACGAGUGAAGCAAACGAUCCUGAAGGUUGGAGAGAGAUGAAGAAUGACAUGAGGAACAAGAAAUAAUUCACAAGAAUUUUGGCAGCACUUCGGUGGGAAAUUGAGGACAAAAUUUGUUCGCGGGACUGAUGGGGUCAUAGUCCUAGGGUAGGGUCAUAGGCCUGUCAUAUAGGUCCUACCCAAGGACUAUCCCUCGCAAAGGACAAGGCCCUAGUCAGUCCCGACUGAAUUAAGGGGUCCCCAUCAUCCAGUCGGUAACAGGUCCUCAACCAUCCAGUCGGAGACUAGCAUUCGGAGGAUACCAAUCUAACCGACUAGCUACACUCGGUACAUCGUAACCUCUCUGGAGGGAAACUGCCGUACGUUUUGGGGUGCAUUUAUUAGCAUUUAGAGCAUACGUUACCUCUAACAUACGCAUUCAAUCCCCACUACUCCACCCCUGUACCGGAACCGUUGUGGAGGGCAGCGCACUCUAUAUAAGCCGCCUUCCCCCACUGGUAGAGGGGUUAGAAAAUCAUGGUAUUCUAUAUUCCACUCGACAACAAGCUCCGAGAGCACUGAGACGUAGGGCUGUUACCUCCACCGCUGAGGGGCCCGAACUCAUACAACCUCGUCGUAGCUAGGACUCUGCCCAUCUCAUUCGUACCCUACACAUCUAACUAUCUCCGAGUGUGCACUACACGUCACACUCGGGGGCUUAGCUGCGAUCCAGCAUCGCCUAAGUAUUAACUUUCUUUGAGUCUGCGCUACACGUCACACUCGGGAGCUUAGCUGCGAUCCAGCAUCGCCUAAGUACUAACUUUCUCCGAGUGUGCGCUACAUGUCANNNNNNNNNNNNNNNNNNNNNNNNNNNNNNNNNNNNNNNNNNNNNNNNNNNNNNNNNNNNNNNNNNNNNNNNNNNNNNNNNNNNNNNNNNNNNNNNNNNNACUCCGUCUCUGAAACUUUUCCGGUAAUGCACGAAACCUUCCGGUAACCAAAUGAGGUCAUCCUAUGUAUAAAUCUUCAUUCCGGACCAUUCCGGAAACCCUCGUGACAUCCGUGAUCUCAUCCGGGACUCCGAACAACAUUCGGUAAUCAACCAUAUAACUCAAAUACGCAUAAAACAACGUCGAACCUUAAGUGUGCAGACCCUGCGGGUUCGAGAACUAUGUAGACAUGAUCCGAGAGACUCCUCGGUCAAUAUCCAAUAGCGGGACCUGGAUGCCCAUAUUGGAUCCUACAUAUUCUACGAAGAUCUUAUCGUUUGAACCUCAGUGCCAAGGAUUCAUAUAAUCCCGUAUGUCAUUCCCUUUGUCCUUCGGUAUGUUACUUGCCCGAGAUUCGAUCGUUAGUAUCCGCAUACGUAUUUCAAUCUCGUUUGCCGGCAAGUCUCUUUACUCGUUCCGUAAUACAAGAUCCCGCAACUUACAUUAAGUUACAUUGCUUGCAAGGCUUGUGUGUGAUGUUGUAUUACCGAGUGGGCCCCGAGAUACCUCUCCGUCACACGGAGUGACAAAUCCCAGUCUCGAUCUAUACUAACUCAACGAACACCUUCGGAGAUACCUGUAGAGCAUCUUUAUAGUCACCCAGUUAUGUUGCGACGUUUGAUACACACAAAGCAUUCCUCCGGUGUCCGUGAGUUAUAUGAUCUCAUGGUCAUAGGAACAAAUACUUGACACGCAGAAAACAGUAGCAACAAAAUGACACGAUCAACAUGCUACGUCUAUUAGUUUGGGUCUAGUCCAUCACAUGAUUCUCCUAAUGAUGUGAUCCCGUUAUCAAGUGACAACACUUGCCUAUGGCCAGGAAACCUUGACCAUCUUUGAUCAACGAGCUAGUCAACUAGAGGCUUACUAGGGACAGUGUUUUGUCUAUGUAUCCACACAAGUAUUGUGUUUCCAAUCAAUACAAUUAUAGCAUGGAUAAUAAACAAUUAUCAUGAACUAAGAAAUAUAAUAAUAACUAAUUUCUUAUUGCCUCUAGGGCAUAUUUCCAACAGUCUCCCACUUGCACUAGAGUAAAUAAUCUAGUUCACAUCACCAUGUGAUUCCAACGAAUCCAACACCCAUAUAGUUAUGGGGUCUGAUCACAUCUUGCUCGUGAGAGAGGUUUUAGUCAACGGUUCUGAAACUUUCAGAUUCGUGCGUUCUUUACAAAUCUUUAUGUCAUCUUAUAGAUGCUGCUACUACGUGCUAUUCGGAAAUGCUCCAAAUAUCUACUCUACUAUACGAAUCCGUUUCACUACUCAUAGUUAUCCGGAUUAGUGUCAAAGCUUGCAUUGACGUAACCCUUUACGACAAACUCUUUAACCACCUCCAUAAUCGAGAAAAAUUCCUUAGUCCAUUAGUUACUAAGGAUAAAUUUCGACCGCUGCUAGUGAUUCAAUCAUGGAUCACUCUCUGUACCUCUCAACAUACUUUGAGUCAAGGCACACAGGGGAUAGGUACACAGCAUGGCAUACUUUAGAUUCUACGGCUAAGGCAUAGAAGACGACCUUCGUCUAUUCUCUUUAUUCUGCCGUGGUCGGGUUUUGAGUCUUACUCAAAUUCACACCUCACAACGCAACCAAGAACUCCUUCUUUGCUGGUCUAUUUUGAACCCUUUCAAAAACUUGUCAAGGCAUGCGAUCGUUGUUGAAACUUCUAUUAAGCGCUUUCGAUCUAUCUCCAUAGAUCUUUGAUGCUCAACGUUCAAGUAGCGUAAUCCAGGUACUCCUUUGAAAACUUCUUUCAAACAACCUUGUAUGCUUUACAGAAAUUCUACAUUACUUCUGAUCCACAAUAUGUCAACCACAUAUACCUAUCAGAAAUUCUAUAGUGCUCCCACUCACUUCUUUGGAAAUACAAGUUUCUCAUAAACCUUGUACAAACCCAAAAUCUUUGAUCAUCUCAUCAAAGUGUAUAUUCCAACUCCAAGAUGCUUGCACCAGUCCAUUGAAGGAUCACUGGAGCUUGCAUACUUGCUAGUAUCUUUAGGAUCGACAAAACCUUCUGGUUGUAUCACAUACAAUGUUUGCUCAAGGAAACCGUCGAAGAAAACAAUGUUUUGACAUCCUACGUGCAAUAUUUCAUAAAUAAUGCAUCAACAACUAACAUAAUUCUAACAGUACUUUUAGCAUCGCUAUAGAGWCGGAGUNNNNNNNNNNNNNNNNNNNNNNNNNNNNNNNNNNNNNNNNNNNNNNNNNNNNNNNNNNNNNNNNNNNNNNNNNNNNNNNNNNNNNNNNNNNNNNNNNNNNAUCAUUAUUAGUUCACUUCCGAUAUGCGUAGAUCACCCCCUCYUAUUUUGUUACUCGUAAGUUAGCCACCUCAAUAAAUGCUUGGUCGCUAGCUGCAGCCUCACCAAUUAAGCUUUGUUAGUCUCGAUACCUUUGGAAAUGAAAUUGCUGAGUUCCUGUGGCUCCCAAAUUACUACAACACCAAUUGCAAGUACAAGUAAUGUGAUAUUAUGUUGUGAGCGCGAUGAUUGUGCUUUUGGAGUUUCUUCUUCUUCAUCAUCAUCGAUCUAGGAUGGGUUCCACGCCGGCAACCUAGGAUAGCAAGGAUGGACGUCGUUCUUUUAUCAUUUAUUUUCGUCCAUAGUCGAACCCUGCUCUUUUUCAUGAUGAUUGUAUAUUGUUGUAUUUAUGUGAACUUGAUGUAGCUUGUGGAGAGUGGAAGCGAUUUCCAUAUACUCAUCUCUUCAGUAUUGUCACACACGUUUUUACCUUACUUCAAUUGUAGUCUUUUCAAAAACCUGAAUUUAUUAUAACUUUUUAAGCAAGUGCUAUGAGUGCCAUGAUUGCCUAUUGUUUGUGUGCCAUGAUUGCCAUUGUUUGUGUGUAUGCUUGAGUGAGUGGAUCCAAAAAUAAUAUUUUUAUAACGUGAGAUUUCCAAAAAGAUCCUUUUUCUCAUUUUUGACCAUUUCAAAACCUUGCUAUGGGUUUGCACUUCAAGUCCCUGAUUCCAAGGGAGUGCCUCCACCCAAAGAUUGUAUUAUGAUUUUGGCACUAUUAUAACUUUCCAAAGUCAUAAAAUAUUUAUUUUAUAAAAUAAUUUUCUAUUUUAUUUGCAUGUCCUUUUCUGAGGUGAGAAAUGAUAUUUCUGAAUGGAAAAUUAUUUUUCUGCCUUAGAAAAACUUGAGAAAAUUGAAGAUAUGCACAGGACAUAUAUUUUCCAUAAUAAGAUUUUCAACCCCUAUUUAUGUUCAAAAUAUUUGAGCAAAUCCUUGAAAACCUAUUCUGUCUGUUUUGACCUUUUGAAAUAUUUCCAAAGGAAACAGUUUCAAUAAAUUCCUAGAAAAUUCUAGCAUGCUUCCCAAGUUAUAUUUGGUGGUCAUGCCAAGUUUCACCUUAUUCCAAGGUUCUUUGGUUCACCAAAUAUUCCUAUGACCUUCCGUUUCCAGAAUUAAGUUGAAGCAACUCUACAUAGAAAAGUUUGUCCAAAUGGCCUAAAGCUUUGCACGAGUGAUCAACACCCCAAAUGAAGAGACCCUGCCAAAAAAUAGAUUUGUGGUAUUAAUUUAGCCACAUUCUCUUUUAAAGGACAGAACUGCCCAUUUGGGGGAUUUCAAGUUUGCAUUGUCAACCUUGUCCAAUGGCGCUCAAAUUUGGUGGAGCAUCCUACUUUGUAUUAAACCCAAUCAUGUUAACUUUCAACAUGAGUGGUGGAGGUUAACUACCCCAAACACAUAUCAAUCACCUUCUGCCUGGAUGGUCAAACAACACUUAACACCCUCUACACCCACUCCCUUUCCACUAAACUCUUAGUGCAAGCUGCCAGCACCACUCCUCAACUGCAGACGAGUGGCCCCUCUAUGGUUCCGAGCAGGUGAGUCAAAAUCCCCAAUUUAGUUUCUGAAUCAAGCCUGACAGCUCCUCUUCAAGCACUUCCUUUGACCAGCAGUGAGACCCUCGGCUCCCAAACGGCUAAAGGGCAUCUAAGCCAACCCCCGGACACGUCAGACAGGGCCAAAGCACCCCAGAGCACGCCAGCAUGCCGUGGCAUGCCAAAUCUGUGCUCUGGGCACGCUACAAGGCACACGAGGGGAUAGGAGGCCAGCCCCNNNNNNNNNNNNNNNNNNNNNNNNNNNNNNNNNNNNNNNNNNNNNNNNNNNNNNNNNNNNNNNNNNNNNNNNNNNNNNNNNNNNNNNNNNNNNNNNNNNNGUCGUGGGCGGCGURGUCGUGYGUGUGUGGUUAGGUCGUCGAAACGGUCAACGACCAAAAUAGAAGAGAAUACGGCAACUACUAACGGAUAGCAUGUUUUGUAAAACUAGGCGGCAACGGAAUAGCCGAUGCAAUGCGGAUGAUCUGAUGAUGAAUGCGAGAACCAAAUAAAACACAUGGCGACAACGAAAUAAAAGGGGAAUCUUUUGGCGCGUCGGUCUUGGGCUGUUACAACUCUCCUACACUAACAAGAGAUCUCUCCCCGAGAUCUAAGAAUGAAAGGGGAAGAGGAAAAGAAAGAGCAAAAUGUAAAACUUAGUCGCUUCUUUGACAAAUGAGUGAAACCAACAACCCUUGAAGGUCACAAAGAGAUGAAGAAUGAUAUGAGAAACAAUCAAGAAUUCAAACAAAAUUUCGGCAGCACUUCAGUAGGAAAGUUGGAACAAAUUCAACAAGAUGGAAUGAUCUUGAAAAGAUUCACAACAAACAAACUAAAUAGAUAAGCCAUGAAAGAGUAUGAGCUUGAUGAGAGAAGGUCAUGAAUGAAAGGGAGCAACAUCACAAGGCCUCUGGAACAAAUGAAUAGGAACUAGAUCAUUGAGAAGAAGAGAAUAGAGAAGAAAAUGACAAUUUUCACCACAAUUGAAUUUGAGAAGCAUCUUACAAGAAGGAUAGAACGGAGUUGUUGGAAAACAAAAACGAAAAGAACAAGCUUGUUGUGGACUUAUGAAAAACAUCUCAAAUAAUGAGUUGACAACCGACCACUAAGAGAAACAAAGAUAGCUUGGGAGCAAAACAUGCAAACCAUCUUAUACCAAGAGGAUACAUUGAGCACUUGGAUCAAGAUAAUCACCAUAAUAGCAACAAUCCUUAGACAUAGCUUUGGAUGAAAUCUAAACCCAGAUAACUCAAUGAAGAAACCCUGGCUUAAAAUAUCUCAUGAUCAAAGGAUUAGGUGGGGUUAGUUAUCUCAUUCUUGAAACAACUUCCCUUCGAGACUCUUCCACUAACAAGAAUGCUAUAACACCACCUCAAAGGAAAAUGGAGGAAGAAUUGCACUUUGAAAUACAAGAUACGAACACUUAGGUACUACCAAAAGAAUCUUGAAGACACUUUGAGAAUUAAUUGAAAAAUUGAAGGACCAUCAUGAAAACCACUUGAAGAACACUAGAAUGAAAGGAUGAAAGAAUAAGAUUAAAGGCCUUACAAUGAUUUAGAUGAAGAUUCAUGAAGAGAUGUUUGAGAAAACUUGGAACUCCGGAAAAAUGAGAUGAACAACAUUGAAUGGAAAAUUGAUAUCAUGAGCCACUACAGAAGAAGAACUGAAAUCACCUUGAUGAAACAAAAGAAUGAUAAUUAUGUUAUGCUCAUCCUUCAUCAAGUUAAAUUGGUGACAAGCAACGGAUUUGGCAUAUCACUUAUUCUUCUUGAAAAAAAACUUAAAGAGGGAGAUAGAUAAGGCAUCACUUGAAGAACUCUUGAAAGAAACACCAGUAUGAAUUUGGAAUGAAAGAGGAUACUACAAAUGAACUGGGGUGCAUGAGAACAAAAGAGAAAGAUUUGAUUAGAGAAUGCUUGAACAAGGCACACAGGGGAUAGGUUCACAAAUGAAUGAGGAUGACCAAGAAUGAAUGGAGAUASARKAAAACAAGGAGAUMAGUCUAAGAGUAACUUACCUUNNNNNNNNNNNNNNNNNNNNNNNNNNNNNNNNNNNNNNNNNNNNNNNNNNNNNNNNNNNNNNNNNNNNNNNNNNNNNNNNNNNNNNNNNNNNNNNNNNNNAGUUCAAAAUAAUUUGUAGCAAAUACCUUGAAAACCUAUUCUGUCUGUUUUGACCUUUUGAANAUUUCCAAGGAACAGUUUCAAUAAUUCCUGAAAAUUCUAGCAUGNUUCCCAAGUUAUAUUUGUGGUCAUGCCAAGUUUCACCUUAUUCCAAGGUUCUUUGGUUCACCAAAUAUUCCUAUGACCUUCCGUUUCCAGAAUUAAGUUGAAGCAACUCUACAUAGAAAAGUUUGUCCAAAUGGCCUAAAGCUUUGCACGAGUGAUCAACACCCCAAAUGAAGAGACCCUGCCAAAAAAAUAGAUUUGUGGUAUUAAUUUAGCCACAUUCUCUUUUAAAGGACAGAACUGCCCAUUUGGGGGAUUUCAAGUUUGCAUUGUCAACCUUGUCCAAUGGCGCUCAAAUUUGGUGGAGCAUCCUACUUUGUAUUAAACCCAAUCAUGUUAACUUUCAACAUGAGUGGUGGAGGUUAACUACCCCAAACACAUAUCAAUCACCUUCWGCCUGGAUGGUCAAACAACACUUAACACCCUCUACACCCACUCCCUUUCCACUAAACUCUUAGUGCAAGCUGCCAGCACCACUCCUCAACUGCAGACGAGUCGGCCCCUCUAUGGUUCCGAGCAGGUGAGUCAAAAUCCCCUAAUUUAGUUCUGAAUCAAGCCUGACAGCUCCUCUUCAAGCCUACUUCCUUUGACCAGCCAGUCGACGACCCUCGGCCUACCCGAACGGACGUAAACGGGCUACGUACCUACGACCCCGAACCCGACACGUACACGACGACGGAACCAACGCCAACCGACGACGACCGACCGACCNNNNNNNNNNNNNNNNNNNNNNNNNNNNNNNNNNNNNNNNNNNNNNNNNNNNNNNNNNNNNNNNNNNNNNNNNNNNNNNNNNNNNNNNNNNNNNNNNNNNAGCUCCUCCCACGGCCGGUCUACCCCCUGCCUCCCCUCGUGUGCGAGCAGGAGGAAGGAGAAGACCUGGCAGGCGGGGGCCCCUGUCAGCGAGCCAAGGCCAGGCCCACGCGGAAUAAGUGGAGGCGCCCCUCUCAGAUUCCGCUUCCGCGUGGAGAAAGCGCCCCCGGGAAAGGCGCCUUCGGCGUGGCCACCUUGUGCCUCCAUGCCGAGCCGCCGGGCCGGCCCACCUCUUUCUCUAGCGCCCAGUGCGCAUGAUAGCUAAGUCUGCAGGCCCAUUUUUCCCUUUUUCAUUUAUCUGCAAUCUUCUAAAUUCCACCAUAAAAUCAUUCUAACUCCAAAUCACUUGGUUCAAAUUUCUGCAGGAUCCUAAAAAUGAGGCCUAUCCAAAUAAGUGCUUUGCACAUUUUUCCUUCCCAACUUUCUGUGGUGUUUUAUUUAAAAUCCCAAUCUGGAUAUAAAAUAUCCCACCUUUCAAAAUUCCUAGCAGAUUCAAAUCAACUCCAAAUGGAGUGAUUCAAACUCCCAGAGCCUUCUAAAAUCCUUCUCUAUUUUUACAACCAUGGUCAACAUUUUUGUGUGACUUACUUCUGUUGCAAUAAAUAAAUAGCUCCUAUUGCUAUUUGUUCCUCAUUGUAAAAUCUCUAGAAUAUUCAUACCAUCUCCAAAUCCAGUGAAACCACUUCCUAAAUAUUUCUAAAAUCAUUCUCUGUUAAAUGGGUGCCUCCACUCAUUUUUAACAGAAUGAUUUCUGUUGGCUUAUUCAAUGGCCACCUAUUGCUCCUUUCUCCUAUUCAAAAAUCCUUGAUGAUUCAAAUCUCCAGUGAGAAGCUUCUGGUAUUUUUCUUAUGACGAGAGAGGUCCAAGAAAAAUAAAACUUCUAUUUAUAGAACACUUUUAUUCUGCUGGAUGUGUGGCUUACGGUGGUUAUUUUCCGACGUUAGUUGACGGUAGACGGAGUAUUAGGGGACGGAACGGAAGACCUCGAAGACCCGAGGACUUACAUGAGCAAGGCAACGMGGCCCUAKGACCAUGACUUGAGCAUGCACAUUGAUGCAUGCUAGAAUAGCAAGUACUUUUCCGUUGCAUGUGAUCACAGUGCCGGUUCAUCAUUGGUGUGAUGGUACCGAAGGCUUCUUCAAAGCACUUGCGUGAUAGUGAUGUUAUACAUAUGGCUCCUCGGAGCACAAGCAUGAUGAGCUUGACCCUACCAUCUAUGAGGAUAAUGCUACUGUCAUGUUGACUAGUAGAGUAAGAUCAUUGCAUUGAGCUUAACCCUACCCCUUGAGGGUCAUGUUAAUACCAUGUUGACAAGUAAAGUAAAAGCCAUUUUACCAUGAGCAUGAUGAUGAGUUAAAUAAAAGAGUUUAUGAAAACCCCGUCGGGUGCCACUAAUGCCCGAGGGUGAUGAUGAGUUGGUGAUCACUUUUGGUGAAGUGAUGCACCGGUGUUUUUGUGUGAGUAUGGUUUCGGUAAUGGGAUUAGAUUUAUGAUGUGUCGACCGUCCCAACCUUACCUGUACGACCACGUUACCCCUUUAUGGGAUGGGGCUUUGUUGAUUACUCUGGUCGGUACUAGCAAAGAGCCACAUUACUAGUGGCGGGAGUGAUCGUUGUCACUCUCGUGAUGGGGUCAUGCCAGGUAGGACGACUAUGCCAUUAUUAUGAGUUCCAGGCACACCGUUGGUCCCCCGCAUGGUUGAUACUGUCCAGAGUCGGUGCUCGUAAGACGUACAACAUGUGGGCUGGGUACCAAUCGAGUGGACCUCUUUGUCUAGUAUCGUCGGGGGAAAGAUGAUGAUCGGGUACUUACCUCGGGUAUAUGUGAUACACCGCGAGUCGUGGAUGACACGGAAGUUUCCCGUUUCUCGUGGGUCCAGCGUACUACCUCUGCAGAGUGUCAAACUAUUCGAAUAGCCGUGUCCAGGGUCAAGGACAGUUGGGUGGUGCUGCUUAAACUACGUCCAGCGUUUCCGCAUAAACCAAGUGUGUGUGUGUGGUGUUAAAAAGGUAGUUGUUAUGAGAGUAAUAAUAUGACCAAGUUNNNNNNNNNNNNNNNNNNNNNNNNNNNNNNNNNNNNNNNNNNNNNNNNNNNNNNNNNNNNNNNNNNNNNNNNNNNNNNNNNNNNNNNNNNNNNNNNNNNNGGUCUUCCCGGGUCGGGUUGCCCCCCCCCCYCCGGUCCGAACCYCCGGAACCCACUUCGUCAUUCCCGGUACAUUCCCGGUAACUCCGAAAACCUUCCGGUAAUCAAAUGAGGUCAUCCUAUAUAUCAAUCUUCGUUUCCGGACCAUUCCGGAAACCCUCGUGACGUCCGUGAUCUCAUCCGGGACUCCGAACAACAUUCGGUAAYCAACCAUAUAACUCAAAUACGCAUAAAACAACGUCGAACCUUAAGUGUGCAGACCCUGCGGGUUCGAGAACUAUGUAGACAUGAUCCGAGAGACUCCUCGGUCAAUAUCCAAUAGCGGGACCUGGAUGCCCAUAUUGGAUCCUACAUAUUCUACGAAGAUCUUAUCGUUUGAACCUCAGUGCCAAGGAUUCAUAUAAUCCCGUAUGUCAUUCCCUUUGUCCUUCGGUAUGUUACUUGCCCGAGAUUCGAUCGUUAGUAUCCGCAUACGUAUUUCAAUCUCGUUUGCUGGCAAGUCUCUUUACUCGUUCCGUAAUACAAGAUCCCGCAACUUACAUUAAGUUACAUUGCUUGCAAGGCUUGUGUGUGAUGUUGUAUUACCGAGUGGGCCCCGAGAUACCUCUCCGUCACACGGAGUGACAAAUCCCAGUCUCGAUCUAUACUAACUCAACGAACACCUUCGGAGAUACCUGUAGAGCAUCUUUAUAGUCACCCAGUUAUGUUGCGACGNNNNNNNNNNNNNNNNNNNNNNNNNNNNNNNNNNNNNNNNNNNNNNNNNNNNNNNNNNNNNNNNNNNNNNNNNNNNNNNNNNNNNNNNNNNNNNNNNNNNCUGUUUUUUUUCUUUCUUAGUUAGUAUAAAAGUACUUUAGUGUUUUAGUUCUUCGAUUUUUGUCUUUGUUGUNACCCCGGAMUGUAUUCGAGCUCGUGAGCCAUAUAUAAAGAGUGUCUUAGUUGAAGGGCGUUUGCCUCUUGCCAUGAUCAAAAGAAGUAGAGAAAAGAACAAAAGCAUGAAAGAUCAUGUAAUGAUCUUAUGGGAAGUGAUGGCUUCACAUAUAAAAAGAAUGAUGAUUGAAACUUGCUGAGGGUAGACAAACAUAGACCUUGGUCAUUGUUGCAAUUAAUAGGAAGUGAUAAAGAAGUAGCGGUUCACAUAUAAAUACAUCAUCUUUGACACCAUCUAUGAUUGUGAACACUCACUAAACUAUUGCAUGCUUAGAAGUAGAUGUUGGACAAGGAAGACAACAUAAUGAAUUGUGUUUGCUUGGUUCUGAGCAAUGUUAUUUGAUUGGAGAUCCCUUAGCAUGUGACGAUUGCUUCCACCUCAUAUUAGUCAAAACCUCCCACACUAAGUGGAGAUACUACUUGUGCAUCCAUAAACCUUCAACCCAGUUUUGCCAUGAGAGUCCACCAUACCUACCUAUGGAUUGAAUAAGAUCCCUCAAGUAAGUUGUCAUCGGUGAAAGUAAUAAAAAUUUCUCCCUAAUAUGUAUGAUCUAUUAGUGUGUGGAAAAUAAUCUUUGUAUGAACCUGUGAUGAGGAAGACAUAAAAGCGACAGACUACAUAAUAAAGUUCUUUAUCACACGAGGCAAUAUAAAGUGACAUUCCUCCGCACUAAGAGGACACGCAUCCAAACCUCAAAAGCGCAUGACAACCUCUGCUUCCCUCUACGAAGGGCGUAUCUUGUAUCUUUACUUUUUUCCCUUGAAAGAGUCAUGGUGAUCUUCACCAAUUCCUUGUUUCUCCUUUAUCUUCGCCAACGUCAUAUGCUUGGGAAAGAUCUAUAUUCAUAUGUCAACUUGGAAGUAAGUAUUCAUGAAUUAUUGUCGUUGACAUUACCCUUGAGGUAAAUGGUUGGGAGGCAAAACUAUAAGCCCCUAUCUUUCUCUGUGUCCAGCUAAAACUUUGAUCUCAUGAGUACCACGUGAGUUGUAGCAAUUGUAGAGAACGAAAAGAUGAUUGAGUAUGUGGAUUUGCUCUACAAGUUCUUAUUUGAUUCUUUCUAAUGUUGUGAUAAAUUGCAAUUGCUUCAAUGACUAAAGGCUAUCGGUUGUUACUUAUCGGUAAGAUUCUUGAUCCAUUACUUUUACUUUGUGAAUUAAUUGUCUACUUUAGCAUGAGAGGUUAUAUGUUGGUAUUGUUGUUCUGNNNNNNNNNNNNNNNNNNNNNNNNNNNNNNNNNNNNNNNNNNNNNNNNNNNNNNNNNNNNNNNNNNNNNNNNNNNNNNNNNNNNNNNNNNNNNNNNNNNNUUAAUAGUUUCUAAUUUCUAUUNUGAAAGUAGACUUUGUAGUUGUAUCUUUUGUAUGUCUGGUUGUAUAUUCCUUUUCCCUAGGCUGUCGUAAUGUUUCAAAAAAUUUGAGGUACCAGAAGUAUACGAAGUAUACAUAUUGCUACAGAGUGGUCUGUUUUUGACAGAUUCUUUUUUGUUGAGUUGGUUGCUUGUUUUGAUGAAACUAUGGAUAGUAUCGGGGGGUACUAGCCAUGGAAAAGUGAGAAUACAGUAAUCUAACACCAAUAUAAAUAGAAAUCAAGAUUUCUACAGUACCUAAAGAGGUGGUAGUUUGUUUUCUUGUGCUAAUGAUAUCACGAGUUUCUGUUUAAGUUUUGUGUUGUGAAGUUUUCAAGUUUUGGGUGAUGUUCUCAUGGACAAAGGGAUAAAGAGUGGAAAGAUCUCAAGCUUGGGGAUUCCCAAGGCAUCCCAAGCUGAAUUCAAGGACAGCAAAAAUCCUAAGCUUGGGGAUGCCCUGGGAAGGCAUCCCCUCUUUCGUCUUCAAUCCAUCGGUAACAUUACUUGGAGCUAUAUUUUUAUUCACCACAUGAUAUGUGUUUUGCUUGGAGCAUCUUGUAACGUAGGAGUCUUUUCUUUUAGUUGUGUCACAAUCAUCCUUGCUACACACCUUUUGAGAGUGACAUGCACUCAUCGUGAAAUUGCUAGAAUACUCUUUGUGCUUCACUUAUAUCUUUUGAGCUAGACAAUUUUGCUCUAUGUGCUUCACUUAGAUCUUUUAGAGCACGGCGGUGCGUAACUUGGAAGUUGGCUUGUUCUAUGAAAGUAGUCCCAAAGAUGAAAGGUACCCAAAGAGGAUACAAUAAAACCUCCCUAUCCCCUGUGUGCCUUGAGUAGAAAGAGAAGUUUUGAUUCCUCUCAAUUAGUUUUGAGACGUGGAUUUGGUAAUAUUAAGAGUUAGGUUAGUAGGGUGUUGUGAAUCUAGAAAUACUUGUGUUGAAGUCAGUGAUUCCUUUAACAUGCACAUAUGGUGAACCGCUAUGUUAGGAAGUCGGAGCAUAAUUGAUCUAUUGAUUGUCAUCCUUUGUGUUGUUGUCGGGAUCGCGCGAUGGUUUACACCUACCAACCCUUCCCCUAGGAGUAUGCGUUUAGCACUUUGUUUCAAUUACUAAUAAUAACUUUCGCAAUAAGUAUGUGAGUUCUUCAUGACUAAUGUGAGUCCAUGGUACAGAUGCACUUUCACCUUCCACAAUUGCUAGCCUCUCUAGUACCGCGCAAUUUUCGUCGGUGCACAAACCCACCAUAUGCCUUCCUCAAAACAGCCACCAUACCUACCUACUAUGGCAUUUUCAGAGCCAUUCCGAGAUAUAUUGCCAUGCAACUCCCACCGUUCCGUCUCAUGAUUUGUGCUGUCACUCUCAUAUUGCCAUUGCAUGAUUGUAAGAUAGCUAGCGAGAUGUUUCAACGUCAUACGCCAAGCUAGAUCAUUGCACAUCCCGAUACACUGCCGGAGGCAUUUCCUAUGGAGUCAUCAUUGUUCUAAGCUUUGAGCUAUGAGUAAAUAAAAGUGUGAUGAUCAUCAUUAUUAGAGCAUUGUCCCAUAUGAGGAAAUAAAAAAAAUAGGCCAAAGUUGCCCACAUAAAAAAAGACAGAUAUGGAAAGAGGCCAAAGAGCCCAAACAAAAAAAGAGAGAAAAAGAGAGAAGGGACAAUGCUACUAUCUUUUCCACACUUGUGCUUCAUAAUAGCACCAUGUUCUUCAUGAUUGAGACCCUCUCGUUUUGUCACCACCAUAUACUAGUGGGAAUCUUUAUUAUAUAACUUGGCUUGUAUAUUCCAAUGACGGGCUUCCUCAAAAUUGCCCUAGGUCUUCGUGAGCAAGCAAGUUGGACACACACCCACUAGUUCUCCUUUGAGCUUUCACAUACUUAUAGCUCUAGUGCAUCCGUUGUAUGGCAAUGCCUACUUAUUCACUUUGAUAUCUAUUAAUGGGCAUAUCCAUAGCCCUUUGAUACGCCGAGUCAAUGUGACCAUCUCCUCCUUUUUGUCUCACAACCACCACCACACUCUAUUCCACCUAUAGUGUUAUAUCCAUGGCUCACGCUCAUGUAUUGCGUGAGAGUUGAAAAAGGUUUGAGAAAGUAAGUGUGCAAAAACAACUACUUGGCCAAUACCGGGGUUGUGCAUGAUUUAAAUUAGUUGUGUGGGGAUGAUGGAGCAUAGCCAGACUAUAUGAUUUUGUAGGGAUAACUUUCGUUGGCCCUGUUAUUUCGAAAGUUCAUGAUUACCUUGCUAGUUUGCUUGAAGUAUUAUUGUUUUCAUGCCAAUAGCAAACUAUUGUUUUGAAUCUUACGGAUCUGAACAUUCAUGUCACAUGAAAGAAGUUGCAAAGGAAAACUAUGCUAGGUAGCAUUCCACAUCAAAAAUUCAGUCUUUAUCACUUCCUUAUUCGAGGACGAGCAUGAGUUAAGCUUGGGGAUGCUUGAUACGUCUUCAAUGUAUCUAUAAUUUUUGAUGGUUCCAUGCUAUUAUCUUGUCAAACUUUGGAUGUUUUGUAUGCCUUUUAUAUCUUUUUUGGGACUAACUUAUUAACUCAAUGCCAAGUGCCAGUUCCUGUUUUUUCCGUGUUUUUGACCCUUUUAAGAGGAGGUAUUUUAAACCGUGUCCAAACGGAAUAAAACUUCCGAAAAGAUUUUUUUCCGGAACAGAAGAUACGCACUAGACUUGAGAACCAAGGCAGAUGCCACCGACGGGACCCCACAAGCCCCCUAGGCGCGGCCAGGGGGGCCCGCACCUAGCAGGCUUGUGGGCCCUCUAUGGCUCGUCUGCCCUACCUCUUCCGYCUAAAAAUUCCUGCAAAAUCGAAAACUGCGCGACAGAUCCACGAAAAUACUUUUCCACCGCCGUAAGCUUCUGUCUCCGCAACGAUCCCAUCUGGGSSACGUUCUGGUGCCCUGCCGGAGGGGGRRUUCGGAGAUGGAGGGAUUCUUCAAUAACACCAUGACCUCUUCGAUAAUGCGUGAGUAGUUCACCUUAGACCUUCGGGUCCAUAGCUAGUAGCAAGAUGGCUUCUUCUCUCUCUUGGAUCUUCAAUACAAAGUUCUCCAUGGUCUUCAUGGAGAUUUAUACGAUGUAAUCUUAUUUUGCGGUGUGUUUGUCGAGAUCUGAUGAAUUGUGGAUUUAUAAUCAGAUUAUCUAUGAAUCUUAUUUGAGUUUCUUCUGAUCUCUUAUAUGCAUGAUUUCAUAUCCUUGUAAUUCUCUUCGAGUUGUGGGUUUUGUUUGGUCCAAUUUGAUCUAUGAUUCUGGCAAUGGGAGAAGUGCUUGGUUUUGGGUUCAUAUCAUGCGGUGACCUCACCAAGUGAUAGAAGGGGUAGCGAGGCACUCAUCGUGUUGUUGCCAUCAAGGGUAAAAAGAUGGGGUUUACAUCAUUGGUUUGAUUUUAUUCCUCUACAUCAUGUCAUAUUGCUAAAGGCGUUACUCUGUUCGUCCUGAACUCAAUACACUAGAUGCAUGCUGGAUAGCGGUCGAUGUGUGGAGUAAUAGUAGUAGAUGCAGACAGUAUCGGUCUACUUGUCUCGGACGUGAUGCUUAUAUGUAUGAUCAUUGCCUUAGAUAUCGUCAUGACUUUGCGCGGUUCUAUCAAUUGCUCGACAGUAAUUUUUCACCCACCGUAAUAUUUUCUAUUUUGGGAGAAGCCUCUAGUGAACACUAUGGCCCCGGGUCUACUUCACACCAUAUUUUCAGUGUUUCACUUUUACUUGGUUGCACUUUCCGCCUUCAGAUCUCACUUUGCAAUCAAUCUUGAAGGGAUUGACAACACCUUUAUAGCGUUGGGUGCAAGCUCGUUUGUGUUUUGCACGUACUCUGGACUUGACCUUGAUUCUCCUACUGGAUUGGUACCUUGGUUCUCAAACUGAGGGAAAUACUUACUGCACUUGUGCUGCAUCACCAUUUCCUCUUCAAGGGAAAAACCAACGCAAGCUCAAGAGGCAGCAGUUCCCUCCUAUGUCCGACGGGGCCAAGCACGGGCUCGUCGGGGUGAUGGCCCUACUGGCGGGAACGGGUCGAGGGAGGCUCUGGUAAUUUUGCGGCCAUCUGCUACUUCCUGGAGGAGCUACCGACGAUGAGGGAGAUGGCGGGGACGCGGCAACCAACUCUGUUUCUCUGAACUUACUGAAGCUCCACCUCUCUGAACUUACUUAGCACAGGGAGAAGAAGGAGGGAAUAGGAGAUGGCGGCAGUGAGGAGGAAGAGCACGCAACCCUAGGCCACAACGGCUCCGAGAUAGCCCCAUCCCCACGCUUCUGGCCGUGUGAUGCUGGCUGGAGAUCAUCAGUGGUGGACGAGAGGAUCGUACAGAGGGUGACGUGUGCGAGGAGGAAGAUGGUCAUGGGGUGGCUGCUCGGAGGGGUACUCGGCCCUGGGCCUCUCUCACUCUCUCUCAAAGAAAUAACACUGGGCUGAACCUUUUAAAUAUAAGCCACAAGUUUUGGAUUAAAGGCCAGAGUAGGAAAAAAUAGAAAAAGAAUGAAUACAAAAAUAAAAAUUAAGCCUCUGAGAUGUUCCUCCUAUUUAUAAAAAUAGGUGGGGCAUUUUAGAGUAACUAAUAAUAACAUGUUUAUUUGAAUGUGGCCCUGUUUUAAAAGAAAACAAAAAGAAAAAUAAAUUCAAAUAAGUGUGUGUUGCCACCCACAAUUAUUUUAAAUGGUUUUCAAAUAUGUUGAACAUUUUUAAAAGGCCAAAACAAAAACUUCAAAUCUGCCUAAGGUAUUUGAAAAGAAAGUGGUUUUUGGUCCAUGGUGCAAGUAUGUUUUUGAAGGGCUCUUGUUGCACCCACACCACACUUUGCAAGAUCAUUCCAACACAUAUGCAAUCACACGCACCACCAAAGUUGUCACCACCAUAUAAGAAUCAAACAAGAAACAAAAGGAAUAAGACAUGCAUGAUGCAUGAUGCACAUGAAAUGACAACAUCACCAAGUCUCUCACCCAUCCACAUUGCAUCACAAGGUUUCCAAACAUGGAAAUGAGUACAAAGUGGGAAGGAAAAGCAUUGGGGCUGUCACAACUCUCCCACACUAUAAGAGGAUCUCGACCCGAGAUCUAUGACUGGAAGAACUCCGGGUACUCGGAACGGAGGUGGUCUUCGCGCUCCCAAGUGGCUUCUUUGUCUAAGUGAUGUGACCAUUGAACUUUGAGGAACUUGAUUGACUUAUUGUGGGUCUUGCGCUCAGUCUAUUCAAGUAUUGUUAUGAGAUGCUCAUGGUACGAUAGAUAGGGCUGGAGGUCGAUAUACUGGAGAUCAACUGUGCGCCCGGGAGUCUUGAAGCAUCCCCGGAGCUGAGAGACGUGAAACACAUCAUGCACAUUGGAGAAGUUGGAUGGAAGCUCUAACUGAUAAGCAAGAUCGCUUCUCCUGCCAACAAUUAUGAAAGGACGACCAAAGCGACGAGCGAGCUUUCCUUUGAUGCCAAAGUGUUGAGUGCCCUUCAUGGGAGACACUUUCAGAUACACAAAAUCAUUGAGCUGAGAAGUCAUGUCACGAUGCUUGCUACCGUAGUAGCUCUUCUUACGGGACUGAGCUGCUUUGAGAUUAUCUCGAAUGUCACGACAUAUUUCUUCUACUUCAGCAAUAAUGCCAUUUCCAAGGAUCUGACACUCACCAGUCUCUGACCAAUUGAGCGUGGUACGUCACUUCCUUCCAUAUAGAAUCUUGAAUGGGGCCUUGCCUCAGCUUGCUUGAAAGCUUUUGUUGCACGAGAACUCGGAAAAUGGUAGGCAAUCUUCCCACUUCAUGCCAAAAGAAUCACACAAGCUCUGAGCAUAUCUUCAAGGAUCUCACUCUCUCAACUUUCCCACUUGUCUAAGAUGGAAAGCUAUGUUGAAACGGAUCUUAGUACCCGUCGCAGACUGAAAGGAAUCCAAGAACUUGGAAGUAAAUAUGCUUCCACAAUCUAAAGGAAUGAGCAUAUGAACACCAUGCAAUGAGACUAUCCUUGACGUAUACAACUCUGCCAGCUAAGCUGCCGAGAUAGACUCUUUGACCAGUAGGAAAUGAGCAACUUUGGUCAACUUGUCGAUGACGACGAUGUAACACCCCAGUUUUUGGCUUUCGUGACUAACUAACUUAUUUCAAAAUUUAGGACCAAUUAAAAAUUUUGUGAAUGCUUGUGAUGCUUAGAGUGACUAUUGUUUGUCUGUUUGUUUUGCAUGUGAUUGAUCCCCAUUAAUUCUUGCCAUUCUCCUAAUCACAUCGUCAUUCCAUGAUCUCCUGCCUAAUGAUCAUGCCAUGUGUUUAGAACAAAUAUCUACUUUUUACCAAAUAUUAUUUUCACCAAAAAGCAUUUUCUUUGGGUUAAACUUUCAAAACCUUGAGAUGAGGUUUGUACUACAAGCCCUCAAAUUAGGGAAUUUAUUUUGCAUCAAUUAUUUUAUUUCAAACCCAUUAUCAAAGUGUCUUCCAAAAACCACCAUAUUAUUAUUUUAAAAGUUAUUUUAUUAUUUUAUUUAAAAGCCCUUCUAUGAGGCCAGAAAUGGUCUCCUAUGAAGGAAAGUUAUUUUUGUUGCCUUCAAAAUAUUUCAGAAAAUUUAGGAAAACUGAGUGGAUAUAUUUAUUCCAUAUUUAUGAGUUUCAACACAUGGUCAUGUUCAAAAUAUUGGGCAAACCCCUCCAAAACCAUUCCUGCCUAUUUCAAGCUUUUGGAAUAUUUUUAUAAGAAAUAUUCUCAAUAAAUUCCAGUAAAAUUCUAGCAUGUCAUCUAUGAUACUAUGGAUGAUCUUGCCAAGUUUCAUUUCAAUCCAAGUUGAUUUGACUCCCCUAAUCACUCUAAAACCCUAUCUGUCCAGAAUCAAAUUUGAGCAACUCUACAUUGUGAAGUGUGUCCAAUUGUGCUCAAAUUUGGUGGACAUGUUCCAGUACUCCAAUGAGGCAUCCACACCAAGUGGUACACCAAGGAGAAUAUAGGAACUUGUCCUAAGACCAUCAAAACCCUCUCUGUUGAUUUCUGACUUUGGUAAACUUUACAUUAUAAAGUUUCUCCAAUUAUCCUCAAACUUUUUGUGCAUGCCUUAAUGCUCAAAUAAUGCCCCUACACAAAAUAUUGGAUUUGUGGGAAUUCAUUUGAAUAGGGUUCUAAGCAGAAACCCAUUUCUGCCCAUUUCUAGGGCUUUUCAAGUCUACAUUGGAAAACUUCUCCAGCAAAUCCCAAAUUUGGUGUGCAAGCCUAUUUUCAUAUAUUAUUUGACCCUAUUAAGUUUCAUAGCCAUUGGAAUUCAUCUGGUGGCCCAACCACAGAUCAAACACCUUGUGUGCACUCAUAAUUUGGUUUCUUUUGCCCCUUCCACUUUUACCCUUGAGCUCAACUUUCUACCAGAGCCUCACAUAGUUACAUUUCACCUCCAGUAAUUUUCCCAUGACCACUAGUCAAUUAUUUGGAAGGACCCUUUAUAAGUUUCUCUCAUUUUCACCCUUGGCAGCACUGUUUUACCCUUCUUUCCAUUAUUCUGCUUAAGCUAUCACCCCCAACUCUUUCCAGAGCAUCCAUUAUAUUCCAAGUCUUCAUUUCGAACCAAGAUAUGGCAUGCUCAUGUGGAGAAAAUGAGCAGCACCUCCUCAAGUUCAUUUCUGGCUGUAUCAUGGCUUUGAACAGCAAGUAGUAUCUACCCUCAUUUGUUUGAACUCAAACUUUGUAGUAUUGAAGUCCUUCCAUGCCUAGCACUGCUAGACAUAAUUUCUCUCCAAGGAUCCCCACCUAAGACCCCCUGUUGUCAGCUCUAUGUUUGCUGUUAGGAACUUUGCAGCAGUCAAGGCUAGUUCAAACCGACUCCACUAGUUGCCAAACUCCAGCGUUUCCUUUCUGCAUGUAUGCCUUCCAUGCUGGACAGGUUUCACUGCCAUUGCAAACCUGUGGGCAUGGGUGGCCGUGGUGACCACCACCCUGACCUGCAAACUGGGUGCUCUGCACCUAGUUUCUCCCCUCCCGACCGUUUCUUGGCGAGGCAGGUUGUCUCAGUGUGUCUCAGAGCAUCCUUUGACCGUUCCAAGCCACUCCCAAUCACUAGCUACCCUCCAAACCCCCUCAGGCAUGCGUGGCAUCCAUGCACCAGAGAGCUCCAACGGCUCCUGGGCUUUCUCUCCUUCCCCCCUCCCCAUAUGGCUCCCUUCCGAGCUCCCUAAGCCUCCAGAACCUCUCCCUCUCUCUUUGGAACCACCCUAGAGCCCUGCUCUCUCUCCAAGCCUCCUCCUCCCUUUGCCUAUCCAUGGACGAAGCCACCAGAGGCCGCCGCGCGAGCAUGGCUAACCAGGGUGGUCACCACUCGCCCCCUGGGCCCUCCGGAGAACCACCUCGUCGUCGGGCCUCCUCCCCAACUACUCUUCCUCCCUUCCUUCACCCCUGGUACUGGCACCAGAGGAGGCCGGCGGUCUCCCUGCAACCACGGCGUCGGCACCCUUGCGGCCCUCCCCUAUAGGCGCCGGGCAGGGGAACGGAGGCGGCUAACUCCCCCGAGCACGUCGGUGGAAGGCACACAGGGGAUAGGUGCCCACAGCCGCCUGGGGAAGCUCCUCCCGCGCCCGGUCCUACCCCCCCUACCUCCCCUAUGUGCAAGUAGGAGGAAGGAGAAGACCUGGGAAGGGCGGGGGGCCCUGUCAUCGAGCCAAGGCCAGGCCCACGUGGAAUAAGUGGAGGCGCCACUCUCAGACUUCCGCUUCCACAGUAGGGGAAAGUCGGACCCCCGGGAAAGGCCGCCGUUCGGCGUGGCCACCGUUGUCGCCUCCGAGGCCGAGCCGCGUCGGGNNNNNNNNNNNNNNNNNNNNNNNNNNNNNNNNNNNNNNNNNNNNNNNNNNNNNNNNNNNNNNNNNNNNNNNNNNNNNNNNNNNNNNNNNNNNNNNNNNNNUUACUAAUAGAUUAGUAUGUAAGAAGUCUAUGAAGAGAANAGUUUGUAGAAAACUUAGGUAAACUCCGGAAAAACGUAAGAGAAUGAACAACAAUUGAAUGGAAAAUUAGAUAUCAUGAGCCACUACAGAAGAAGAAYUGAAAUCACCUUGAUGAAACAAAAGAAUGAUAAUUAUGUUAUGCUCAUCCUUCAUCAAGUUAAAUUGGUGACAAGCAACGGAUUUGGCAUAUCACUUAUUCUUCUUGAAAAAAAACUUAAAGAGGGAGAUAGAUAAGGCAUCACUUGAAGAACUCUUGAAAGAAACACCAGUAUGAAUUUGGAAUGAAAGAGGAUACUACAAAUGAACUGGGGUGCAUGAGAACAAAAGAGAAAGAUUUGAUUAGAGAAUGCUUGAACAAGGCACCGGUAAGAAGUUCACAAAUGAAUGAGGAUGCCAAGAAUGAAUGGAGAUACAAGAGAACAAGGAGAUCAUGAUCCUCUUGAGAGAAAACUUGAACAAGGCACACAGGGGAUAGGUGAGAGACGAACGAAGAGAUAACAAUUGAGAAGAAUGAUGAACUGAAACCUAGUGAAAAUACUUCACAAUGAAUCAUUGGUUACGAUAUAGAAUAAAAAAAAUACCAAAGCAACAAUGAACAAAAAGGCACUUAGUAGAAAAUUGAAUCAUUGAAUAGAAGGGUGGGAGGGCAGGGAAAAACAAAGACAACUUGGGAUAGAUGAGACAAACUCUGGAAAGAAAUGAGAGAUUGAUAUAGCAACAUUGAGAGGUUUGAAUUGACUUGAAGAGAAGCACUUCGGAUUAAAAGAACUGACAUGACGACUCCGGUUGAAAAGAAUUGAUAAGACAAUUUCAAUGAGCAAAAGAAUUUGCACUCUCAUAUAAAGUAUGAGAACACCUCUUGGAAUAAUNNNNNNNNNNNNNNNNNNNNNNNNNNNNNNNNNNNNNNNNNNNNNNNNNNNNNNNNNNNNNNNNNNNNNNNNNNNNNNNNNNNNNNNNNNNNNNNNNNNNAAAAAAAAAAAUAAAACGUGGAAAAAUUGGGGUACGUGGGAAUCGAACCCAAUACCUCCUGGUUGCAAACAUGAUAAGCUAACUAGUAGAACUAGUGAUUGAAUCUGUUCAAUAGACACACCAAAGACUAGCUGAACUAGGAGCGGCCGGUGUUGGCUUACAGAACAACAGGAAAAAGGAAAACAAAAUAGCAGUAGGACUAGUGACUGAAUCUGUUCAAUAGACACACCAAAUCUAGCUGAACUAGGAGCGGCCAGUGUUGGCUUAAAGAACAACAGAAAAAAGGCAAAACAAAAUAGGGCUACGUUUAUUAAGAAAUCUGUCCAGAUCUGAACUAACAUGUUUUAUUUUUUGUUAAAUAGUAGAAUAAAUAUGUUUACGUGAUUCUACGCAUCAUUCUAGUCGAUUUACAUAUAUCCAUCAUCUCCAACGGAGCUACGGUUAACUAGCUUCGAACAACACAAGAUCAUAUGCUUUUAAUGCAACAUGUAUGCAAUGCGUGUGUGUGCAAAACAAAAGAAAAAUAAACAAGAUCAUAUGCUUUUAAUGCAACAUGUAUGCAAUGCGUGUGUGUACAAAAGAAAAAAUAACUUUUAAUGCAACAUGUAUGCAAUGCGUGUGUGUGCAAAAGAAAAUAAAAUAAACAAGAUCAUAUGCUUUUAAUGCAACAUGUAUGCAAUGCGUGUGUGUGCAAAAAAAAAAAAAAUAAACGUGGAAAAAUUAGGGGUACGUGGGAAUCGAACCCAAUACCUCCUGGUUGCAAACGUGAUAAGCUAACUAGUAGAACUAGUGAUUGAAUCUGUUCAAUAGACACACCAAAUCUAGGUGAACUAGGAGCGGCCGGUGUUGACUUACAGAACAACAGGAAAAAGGCAAAACAAAAUAGCAGUAGGACUAGUGAUUGAAUCUGUUCAAUAGACACACCAAAUCUAGCUGAACUAGGAGCGGCCAGUGUUGGCUUAAAGAACAACAGAAAAAAGGCAAAACAAAAUAGGGGCACCUGGGGUUCGUACCCUAGACACCUCGGAUGGAACAAAGUGGUUCUAUCCAGCUCGGUGUUGACUUACAAAACAACAGGAAAAMGGUCAAAACGAAACRUAGGGAACCAACGUUAAGGNNNNNNNNNNNNNNNNNNNNNNNNNNNNNNNNNNNNNNNNNNNNNNNNNNNNNNNNNNNNNNNNNNNNNNNNNNNNNNNNNNNNNNNNNNNNNNNNNNNNUGGCUCUUCCGAUCGACCGGCCUUCGGACGUCCGUGUGUGGCCAAAAAUCCAAUACCACCCCAACAUAACCAAAUUGUUGGACGUCCGGUCCUUCAGGACGACCAUGCGUCAAACGGUCAACGCCCUUUGGUCAUCCGUACAUUGUGAUACAACCUCCCUCUGCUGCGCUGGCCCGCUCUCUCUAGUGGCCGGUCAUCCGAACCCUCUCGGACGCCCGACCCUUUAUUUUGGUCCACACGACCGGGACCUCUCGGAUAUCUGUCAAGUGCGCAGACUAAGUGACUUGCAAUGGCCAUUCUCUACUACUACUAUAUAUACCCUCUUCCGAGCUUAGAUGUGCGUCGUCCAACUCACCAGAAAUAUUCCAAGAACACUUUUAUCUCUCAAUCUCUCCCCUCCUCACCAAAUCCCAGAUCCCAAGAGAAUUUUGAGGUUUCUUGUGUGUUGUUCCAAUCAAAAUAUAUAUUGUCCCUCUCACCUCCUCUCAACCAAAGCAAUUCAUGAUUUGAGCAAGUCUUGAGUGGUUCCCUUGAUCUUGCUACUCUUGGAGGUUGGAGGCUCCUAGGAGGUAGGACUUCUUCGAAGAGAAAUCAAACCAUUGUGAUUUCCCGUAGAAAGUUUGUGAGGGUUUGGAGGCCACCUCAAGGCCUACCACUAGUGGUCAAGAAACGCCUUUGUGGUGUUGUCUCAAGGAGAGAAUAGGGUGAGCCUUCCUAUCCCCUGUGUGCCUUCGUGGUAACAUUGAGCUCUCUAAACGGUGACGUAGCUUCCCUCCAAGGAAGUGAACACCGAGAUACAUCCUCGUCUCUUAGAGUUGCGGUUAUUCCUAACCCUAUCUCCUUACUUGUGGUUACUUGUCUCCUUACAUGUUUCUUGUUUUCACAUUAAGGUUUGUUUAUCUAUUUAGGUACUUAACUUGUAUAUCAUACUUGUCACAUUAUCACUGGUGCAAUUGUUAGGUUAAAGUUCAUAUUCCACAUGUCACUCACACUAGGACUCUUGUCUAACAAGAUAGUCUCAAAGAAGUCUUAUUGCUCCUUUGUGUUGAAGUGAGCAUCAACUGUAGUUCUCCUCCUGUUAGCAUAUGGGUCAGCUGCUCUCCACUUCUUGAGCCCUUCACCCUUCCUCUCCUUCAUGUUUUCGGUUAUAGGUUGUUCAUCAUUAUGCUCUCGGAGAUGUGGUCUUAGCUUCGUCAGCAUAGCAAUUUCUUCUUCCUUUGCAGUAGCAUCUUUUGAAGUAGAACCCUUGUUCUUCUCAGCUGCAGGUAUACCGCUGGUAGUCCUCUUUGGCUUAGAGGCUGUAGGCUUCUUGGCCUAGGACGCUGGCUUGCUGGGCAUAACAUCUUUCAUCUAGUUUCCUCUCCUUGGAAGGAUAGUGGGUUAGUACGGUUCCUCCACUUCCUCUUCCUCAUCACUAGCUGGAUCUUCACACAUAGWAGUUGGCCUUNNNNNNNNNNNNNNNNNNNNNNNNNNNNNNNNNNNNNNNNNNNNNNNNNNNNNNNNNNNNNNNNNNNNNNNNNNNNNNNNNNNNNNNNNNNNNNNNNNNNGUGUUUGUAUCUCCCUACCUUUCCUUACCUUUACACUUUUAUAUUUUACUUUCUACUUCUAUACUCUUAGAUGUCCAUGUGUAGGGUGUACUUGACUAGUCAUAGCUGCUAAAACUAGGCCCACGCUAAAAAUUGGGAAAAGGCUAAGUAUUUAUCUUGUCAAGUAGUCUAAUCGCCCCCUCUAGACAUACUUUCGAUCCUACAAGUGGUAUCAAAGCUUUGGUCUCCAUUGCAUUGGUUCCACAACCUAGGAGACUAUGGCGUCUAGUGAGGGAAGUUAUCACCAUAGAGGUCCAUGCUUCGAUGGAACUAAUUUUGCUAGUUGGAAGCAUAAGAUGAAAAUGCAUCUUCUUUGCAUUGGUCGUGUUGGUGCGCAAGGUGAUUUCUUCGGAGAAGGCCGAGAACCGGAAUGUGAUGUGACAAAGGAAGAAUUGAACAUGUUGCAAUUCGAUGCACAAGGCUGUGACAUCAUAUUCAACUGCCUAUCGUCCCAAAGAAUUCAACAAAAUCAGCCGCCUUCAGAAUGCAAAGGAAAUUUGGGAUACUUUGAUUGAUAUGCACGAAGGUACCGAUUCUGUUAGAGAAUCUAAGUUGGAUGUACUUCAAAGUCAUCUUGACUAGUUCUAGAUGAAGGAUGGUGAAGGAGUCGCUCAAAUUUCCUCUAGGAUAGCUCUGAUCACAAAUGAUAUUGCCGACUUAGGAAGCGAAGAGAUGACCGACAAAUUCAUCAUCAACAAGAUACUUAGGGCUUUGGAUGGAAGAUAUGACAUUGUGUCCACAUUAAUCCAAAUGAUGCCCAUCUGCAAAGAUCUCAAGUCUAAUGAAGUCAUUGGAAGGAUUGUUGCUCAUCAAAGGUCUCUCAAAGACAAAGAUGAGUUGCAUAACAAGUCCAGCGGUGCUUACAAAGCUUCAGUCAAUUCUCCCGCUACUUCAAGUGACAACUUGUUACCAAUGAAGAGAUAAGCGUCAUGGUAAAAAUAUUCAACAAGUUCUACAAGAGUAGAAGCAAAGAAAGAAGCUCAAGCUCAAGACAUGAUGAGAAGUGUUCGUCUAGUAGUGACGGAAACUGCUAGAACUAUGGCAAGCACGUACACUAAUCCAAUGAGUGCUCAGCUCCCUACAAACAAAGAGAAGAGUCACCUCGAAGAUGAAGCUCAAGAGAUGAGUCACUUCAUAGAGAGAGAAGGAGUAGAGAAGAACAUUAUUAACGAAGACACUCAUGUAGAGGCAAGGAAUCGGAGAAGAAGGACAAAUACACCAAGAGCAGCUCUAGAAGAAGACAUCAAGCUCAUGUUGCUGAAUGGGUUUCUGGCUCCGAGUCUGACAACCAAUCCGAGAGAAGAUAUCACUCCAACUGUGACUAUAGUGAAGAUGAAGGUGUUGCCAACAUUGCAAUUGUUUCCUCCAACUCGUAUGACAUAUUUGCUUCACCAAAUGACGGGAUUGGAAACUACUUCACGGCAGAAGGAACCAAGGUAUCACACCCCGAAUAUUUCGACUUUGAUAGUGAUGAGGAUUACUUGUUAGGAGAAGAUGACUUGCUUCUUCGUAAGACUAGUGAUAAUGCUGAAAAUGAACUAGCUAAUUUUCAUGGUAGUCAAGAGAAAUCGAAUAAUGAUGAUAAGAGAGAAAUUGAACGAACUAACUAAAGAAUUAAAAACUUUUAAGUUAGCUCAUCAAACUACUCAAUAAGAUCAUAGAGAGCUUGCAAUAAAUCAUGAGAAGCUACGCUUCGAGAAGCUAAAUUUAGAACAAGAGCAUGAGUUACUAAAAGCAAUGAAUGAUGAUCUUUGAAAGAAGAGUUCCUCUUAUCUAGCCAAACGAUUAAUCUUGUCUACUUUUGUUCCACAAGUUAAAUCUCAGAACACUAGUAACAAAGGCAAGAAAGUUUCUUCUUCUAGUAACGACAAUGCUAAAGCUAAAUCAAAUGAUAGGCUAGUAGCUCUCUUGAUUCCACUAAUGAUUCUCUUAGCCAAUAUACACUUGAGCAAAAAAAUGAUGUAUUGAAAGGGAUUAUAGAGAGAGGUGUCUUUUAGAGUCUUGCCGGAAGUAAGCAAUUUGAGGAAAUUGUGCGCAAGCAAGGAGGGCAUCGGAAGAAGCAAGGUGUUGGCUACUUGAACGUACUCCUCCCAAGGGAACACGCUCACAAGAUGGCCUUCUACCACAAGACCACAAGGGCAAGGGAAAGUUUCAAGAGGACAUUGACUCAUUUGAAGAAGAUACCAAAGCCACGGUUGAGUUGGUUCCCAGGGACACUUCUAGUACUACCUCAACUAGUGCUACCACAAGUCCAAGGAUUCCCAUCAAAGUGAGGUGGGUCCCCAAGAGGAAAAACUAGAAUGUUCUUGAGGGGUGACUCUGCCAAUGAAAUUCACUCCCAUUAAUUUUGGCAAGAACUAUUGCAAUCAACCUCAACCGUAUGCAUUGGUUCAAGGAGUCACACAUUCCCUCGAAGGUGAGCAAGCUUAAGGAUAAGGUAACUAAAGCAUCUUUGGACAUAAAAUCCCAUGUACUUCACUCCAUGUCCAUAGAUAUCUUUGUGUUUGUUCCUUUGCUUUGGGACUAAGCCAUGUAGGUGGGAAGAGUAAGAAACAAGGAUUCCUCCCAACUCAAGAUGAUCUUCAUCAAUGUUGAGCAUCCAUCACUACUUUACCUACUUGAAGUCUUCUACGAGAAAAUCCAAGGUUAGUUUGUACCUAUUAGGGGGGAUGUCAUAUAAAGGGGGAGCUUCACUCUAAAUAUUUAGUAUAAGCAUCUCCUAGAGAUAUGAACACAUUAAUGAUUUAUAGUAAAAGUGGUAACCUCACUUGUCCUUAAACAAUGAGUAUGACCUAUUAUCAAGUUAUUCUUACUUGACCUCCUACAUUAAUAUACUCAUAUAUAGAUGACUUAUUCAUCGACUAAAGUGUACUUUANAGAAUUACGAGGUAUUGGUUUGUGCUAGUUGUUACAUUCAUUGAAUUUAAUUAUUUAGAACUNUUACUUUAUUGGUGUAGAGUACUUAGUGGGUUUACGGGUACGGAAAUUUACUUUACUUUUUACUNNNNNNNNNNNNNNNNNNNNNNNNNNNNNNNNNNNNNNNNNNNNNNNNNNNNNNNNNNNNNNNNNNNNNNNNNNNNNNNNNNNNNNNNNNNNNNNNNNNNAUGUUGGUUCGGUAGUAUCUUUUAUUCUAUUCGUAGGAUAUCUAGUUGUUUGUCUAUUUGGUCUUUUGUAUUUGUCUUUUGUUCCAACUUAGGAUAGUACAAGAAUAGCCUAGGACCCUUCGUUCUUAGUAUAUUUAAUUGAUUUCUUCAUCUCAAGUUCUAUUCAUGCUUCAUAYYACAAAACUUUAACUAAACAACUUCUCGAUCCCUUUGUGUGAAGGAGCACACGGAGUUCCAUAUCGACAAAGGCUGCGCUCCACAACCUCCUUCUGAAUCUCGGUGCAACCAACCGCACAAUCUCGUUUCCACCGAAUUCCCAAAGUUGAUCUGGGUUUUCAAUCUCGGUACCAGCAAAAUCACCAUCUCGGUUUCACCGAGUUUCCAUGUCAACUGACAACAACGAAACUUGGUGGCACCGACAUCUUAGUAUCGGUGACACCAACAGUAAUAGGUAUAUAUCCUAGCGGAUCCGAUGUUUUGAAAUCAAUCCUCAAACGUUUGACCCCAACCCUAAGCUGUCGUCACAAGGACCGCUGGUCAUCACCUUUUCAUCCCCGAGCGCCUUCGCUGUUGGGAUUCACCACCGCCGAUGGAAUCCUCGCCACUGUCGUCGUCUAGCUGGUUCAUCACCGAAUUAGGGUAUGAAUCUGAAACCUCUUGCGCUCCUUAAUCGAAUUCUCGCGCAUUAGGUUUUCCCAAUCCACAAUACACAGUUUACAAUCUUCCUAUUCCACAAGAAAACUCCAUAGAAUAGAGAAUAAGGAAUUUUUGAUCUCAUUUCCCGCAGCAUGCAUGUAACGACCAAGAUGUGACACUUUCCUUAUUUGGGGGUGAGGCCUCAAAAGGGCAAAGAGUCGCAUCUAAGCGUCUCGCAAGAAGGAUAACAAUGCCAUUACAUAAAUAGAGAGAUGAGUAUAAGAUUUGGCUUACACUUGCCACAUGCUAAAUUACAAUCCACACAAGCAUUCAUUAUGCAUACAUAAAGCAGGGUCCGACUACAGAGAAGAUAAACGGCAAAAUCAUGCUAUCCCAUCCUGCUAGUCCCAUGAUCACGACCACGCGCCUCUAGUCCUCGGGAUACGUCACAUACAGCAUGCCCCUGUCUUCGUCGAACUCCCACCUCAGCUGGUUAUCAUCGGGAACUCCUGCAUCUGGGUACCUAUACUUGUGGGUGUUUGUAGUAAACUAUGAGUCAUUAGGAGUCAGCAAUCUCAUGACCUUGGUAUCGAGUCUAACUUAGUUAAAUUGGUGAGGUAGGUUAAGUGUUUGAGUUUGCAGCAUCCUAAGCAUGUAUGGUGGCUAUCUUACGAUGAACAAUAGUUAAAUAUUGUGGUCUACGCAAGACGGUCGAAGACUAGGUUGAUCACUAAGUGAUCCUGAACACCUACUUACGUCAUUCAUAACCCCAAUGUAUUCUCGAUCAGAGAAGGAGCUCUGAAAGAAACAGUCACGGUUACGCACUCAGUUGGCAAGUUUUCAUUUGAAUUAUUUCAAGUUGUCUAGAACCAGAUGUUAACAAAAUAUCCAUGUUUGCAACAUAACCGCGGGCACGACUUUCCAAAAGAUUAAACCCUGAAAGGGUUUUCCAACUAGACCAUCACAAAUUCCAACUAGACCAUCACAAAAUAUCAAGUUGUCUAGAACCAGAUGUUAACAAAAUAUCCAUGUUUGCAUAGUAAUCCUGUACCACGAAACUCGUGAUCUCGUCGGAUUCCUUAGUGGAAAACCUCAACUCUGAGAAGACCCAAAGUCUCACCGGAAUCCCAACGCGCAAGAUAUAUCGCUAAGGUAAGACAAGUCCGGCAAGACCUCCCGACGUGUCGACGAUCCCGAUAGGAGUCGCGUAUCUCGUUCUCAAGACACGACGGAUAAGCGACGCGUACAGUGGCCUGAUAGAAAUCACUCAAGUUGCCCUGAGUUGGCCCCGUAGAGUGCUCUAGUUUGGACCAACACUCAUGAGGAGCACUGGCCCGGGGGUUGAUUAGAUUCCUCGGGGUAGCUAUUCCCUAUGCAUUUUAUUAAGUUAUUAGCAAAUUAAAACCAAAUUUGGCUCGUGCCAGACAAGUCUUAACACUAUACGAUUUAUCGAGGGGGUCCACAUAACAACCACGGACAUGUUAGGAGCGCUCAGUUAUGGAAUAAAACACCGUAGCCGAAACUAAGGCGAUAAUAACGAAACAAAUCACCCGACAAAAGGUUGGGCCUUCCGUUACUUACAUAGUAUAUAGGUGCAUUAAUUAAAUAGCAAUUAAAUGUGAUGAUAUCAAAUGCCCAUGUUAUCACAUGCACCACGUGGCACGUGCAACUAGCAACGCUAACAAUUAGUGGUUGAGCAACCUAACUUAGCCAAACAAUAUUUGCUUGGAGGGGACAUGCUUGAGGUUUCAUGGCAAUUUUUGAUGGCAUAUAUAUCAUGUGGUAGGCAACGGAGAAGUAACGAAAAAAAUAUAGCACUAAGCAAAACAAAGCUAAAAACGGUAUCAAGUUCACGAUCAUCUUGCGUGUGAUUUCUUCAGAGCGGAACUGAUCUUGAUAUUCCUGCACGAACUCACCGGACUCUUCGAACUCAUUUUUGGUCCCAGUAGGUACCCAAAAUAAAACAAGCAGGAAAUAAAUACUAGCAAGAAGAUCAUGCCAUAGACAUAAUGAUGCAAGCAUAAACAACUUCUACCAUGCACAAGAACCACCCUACAAAGAUAAAGCUAUUGCCACCUCACCACAAGGAGACUUUCUACACAAAUGCUCAAAACCAAAAAACCAGUACAACCAUUGGAUUCCUUGGGAUUAUCUACCCAAAAUCCAUAUAUCAUACUGCCCAUGUUGCAUUCAGAAAAACACUACAAACAAUGAAAAGAAAAGUAGCACAGAUCAAACUACAACAAUAUUCGGAACAAUGCUGUUCUUGAGCCUGUCCAAUUUGGCAAGUCCAUAUCUGGACAUUUCCAGAAAUGGGAACAACUACCUAUUUAACAACAAAAUAAAUACAACAAAAUAAAUAAAAAAAUAACAAGGAAAUGUAUGAAUAAGGGAGGGGGCCACUUGAGUAGGCCACGACUCCUUCACGUGGAUAGACAGUCGGUCGGGCCCCCGUCGGUCGGCCCACNNNNNNNNNNNNNNNNNNNNNNNNNNNNNNNNNNNNNNNNNNNNNNNNNNNNNNNNNNNNNNNNNNNNNNNNNNNNNNNNNNNNNNNNNNNNNNNNNNNNUCUUACAAGUUACUUAUUUUGUAGUUACUUUCUUAAUAGUUGUUGGUNUAAAAUUAGUCAAUUGCUUCAAUGCUAAAGGCUAUCGUGUACUUAUCGUAAGAUCUUGAUCCANACUUACUUUGUUGAUUAAUUAGUCACUUUAGUCAUGUAGAGGUUAGUAUGUUGGUAUUGUUGUUCUUGAUCAUGAUCGUGAUGCAUGCAUGUUCGUUAUCUUGUUUUGUUCGUACACCUCUCUCCCUAAACAUGUGGGCAUAUUUUUUGUAGCUCGGCUUUCGCGUUAGGACAAGCGAGGUCUAAGCUUGGGGGAGUUGAUACGUUCAUUUUGCAUCAUGCUUUUAUGAUGAUAUUUAUCGCUUCUCGGGCUGUUAUUUCACUUCACGGUACAAUACUUAUGCCUUUUCUCUCUUAUUUUGCAAGGUUUACAUGAAGAGGGAGAAUGCCGACAGCUGGAAUUCUGCCUGAAAAAGGAGCAAGUUUGAGAUGCCUAUUCUGCGCAACUCCAAAAGCCGUGAAAAUCAACGUGGAUUUUUUUGGGAAUAUAUAAAAAUAGUGGGCCGAAGAAGUGCCAUAGGAGCGCAAUCAGGGGGCCACAAGCCUGGUAGGCGCGGCCACCCCCCCUCGGCCGCGCCUAGGGGGCUUGUGGGCUCCCUGCUGGCCCACUGCCCCCCUCUUCUGCUAUAUGAAGGGUUUCGUUCCAAAAAAAAUCAAGACGAGGCUUUUCGGAGGAUUCGCCGCCGCCAUGAGGCGGAACUUGAGCAGAACCAAUCUAGAGCUCCGGCGGGACGAUCCUGCCGGGGAAAACUUCCCUCCUGGAGGGGGAAAUCGUCGCCAUCGUCAUCACCAACACUCCUCUCAUUGGAGGGGACUCAUCACCAUCAACAUCUUCAUCAGCACCAUCUCAUCUCCAAACCCUAGUUCAUCUCUUGUAACCAAUCUCCGUCUCGCGACUCCGAUUGGUACUUGUAAGGUUGCUAGUAGUGUUAAUUACUCCUUGUAGUUGAUGCUAGUUGGAUUACUUGGUGGAACAGUUUAUGUUCAGAUCUUUGAUGCUACUCAUUACGUCUCUGAUCAUGAAUAUGAUUAUGCUUUGUGAAUAGUUACUUUUGUUCCUGAGGACAUGGGAUAAGUCAUGCUAAUGGUAGUCAUGUGAAUUUGGUAUUCGUUCGGUAAUUUGAUGUGUUGUAUGUUGUUUUUCCUCUAGUGGUGUUAUGUGAACGUCGACUACAUAACACUUCACCAUUAUUUGGGCCUAGAGGAAGGCAUUGGGAAGUAGUAAGUAGAUGAUGGGUUGCUAGAGUGAUAGAAGCUUAAACCCUAGUUUAUGCGUUGCUUCGUAAGGGGCUGAUUUGGAUCCACUAGUUUAAUGCUAUGGUUAGACUUUGUCUCAAUUCUUCUUUCGUAGUUGCGGAUGCUUGCGAGAGGGGUUAAUCAUAAGUGGGAUGCUUGUCCAAGUAAGGGCAGUACCCAAGCGCCGGUCCACCCACAUAUCAAACUAUCAAAGUAACGAACGCGAAUCAUAUGAACAUGAUGAAAAUUAGGAUGACAGAAAUUCCCGUGUGUCCUCGGGAGCGUUUUUUCUCCUAUAAGACUUUGUUCAGGCUUGUACCUUGCUACAAAAGGUGUUAUGACCUCGGUGCCAGAACUAGUCAAGUUAUUAGGUUGAAUAGGUGGAGUAUUUAGGUUGCAGCAUCCUAAGCUUGAUUUGGUGGCUAACUUACAUAGAACUUGUAUGAAGGUGGUCUACACCAGCGGUCGAUUAUACUUGAUCACUAAGUGAUCCUGAACACCUACCUACGGCAUUCAUAACCCCACCGUGUUCCCGAUCGAAUAACGAUCUUCGAAGGGGACAGUCACGGUUACGCACUCCGUUGGCAAUUUUAUUUGCUUAUGUUUAAGUUAUCUAAUACCGGAGGCUAACAAGAUAUUCCAAGUUGCCACAUAACCGCGGGCACGGCUUUCCGAAAGAUUAAACCCUGCAGGGGUGCUCCAACUAGUCCACCACAAACGUACACAGGACGCAAAGUAAUCCUCUAUCACGAAUCUCGUGAUCUCGUCGGAUUCCUUAGAGGAAAACCUCAACUCUGGGGAGAACCAAAGCUUCACCGGGAUUCCUAUAUGCAAUAUAUAUCGCUAAGGUAAGACAAGACUAGCAGGACCUCUCGACGUGUCGACGACCCUGAUAAGAGCCGCGUGUCUUAGUCUCAGGACACGCCGGAUGAGCACAGCCUACAGUGGCCUGAUAGACAUCUCCCGAGUUGCCCCGGGUUGGCCCCGCACACGACUCUAGUCCGGACCAACACUCAUGAGGAGCACUGGCCCGGGUUGUUUAUUAAAUUCCUCGGGGUACCUAUUCCCUAUGCAGAUUAUUAUUAAGUGAUUAGCAAAUUAACACCAAUGUUGGGUCCUGCCGGAGAAGUCUUAACACUACGCGAUUUAUCGAGGGGGUCCCCAUAACAACCCCGAACAUGUUAGGAGCGAUCAAUAUGGAAUCAAACACCGGUAGCCGAUAACUAUGGCGGCAAUAACGGAACAAAGCACCCGGCAAAAGGCUAGGCCUUCCAUCAUUUACCAAGUAUAUAGGUGCAUUAAUUAAAUAACAGAAUUAAGAUAAUGAUAUUAAGCUCGUGUUAUCACAUGAGGCAAAGCACCUGCAUCUAGCAACGCUAACAUUAGUAGCUGAGCAAAGCCUACUUAGACAUUCAAGUUUGCUAGGAAGGGARUCAGUGUUUGGGUUCAUGGCAUAUCAAGAGGCAACUAUUUCAGUGGUAGGGAGCGAUCAUAUGACAAGGAAACGUAAUCUAGCAUAACAAGUCUACAGAUGGAAUCAAGGUCAUAUCAUCUUGCCUGUGAUAUCCUCAGCUUGGAAUGGUUCUUGUUCGUCAUGCACGUACUCUCCCGAAUCCACGUAUUCGUUCUCCGAUCCCGGUGCUACCCAACAUAAGAAUAACAUCCAAUGAACAACAAAACCUCAAGAUGCAACAAGCACAUGAUGCAUGAGAUGAAUAUGAGCAUGCAUCACUACUUCUAUCACUAACACAAUCAUAAGGGGUAAAUACAUGUUCCUGGACAGAACUGCAUCCUAAGCUAUUUGGACAUGCAUGCGAAUGACAUGAUCAAAUGCAUCUCAUGAAAACGAAUGCAAAUCCAUAUAAAGAACGCUACAAUCGGAGCUACGGAUCAACGGGAAUCAACGAAACAAGAUAUGAAGCCCUACGUGUCAAAAUGUCAAAACUACAUAAACUGCAUCAUAGCACUUUGUGAGCUACAUGCAAAGUAUCUACAGCCACCCAAAUAUGACAAAUAAUAUAUGUGGUUGUAGCUAUCCAAGAGUACUACAAGCACAAGUAAGAAUCACACACAAAUGAGUUAAACACAGAAAAUUACAAGGCUGUAAACUUGCCCAAAAAUAUCAGAUUUCAGGGACUUAGUGAAAAUUCCAGAUUCUCACUAUCUAUCUAUGCUUUGGAGCAUUUUGACAGCAGCCAAAACAGUAUCUACAGGACUCCAAAUGGAAUGAAAUUUUACAGGGAGCUAGACAAACAUAUCAGCUCCAACUUUCCAGUCGAAAGCUAAGGCUAGAUCACAACACGUUGACUUGCAGAACCUCAUCUACAGGAGAAGAAAUUAUAAACAGAUUCUCAGACUUAGUGAAAAUCUCAGAUUUUCACUAAUAUGGAAUUUCAGCCACAUGCCUACUUUGAUUGGGCACAACUUGCACAUAUGGAUUCCUAAACAUGAAUUGAAACCAACAUGUGGUAGAGGGGGUCAUCCUCUACUACCACAACCAAGAAUCAAACACAAAGGCUCACCACAACUCAUGAAACCAAGCUCUAAACAUAGAAGAAAAUGAAAUAUGUCAUCUCCAGAAAAUGUUCCAAUGGAAAAACUAAGUUCACCAAUGGAUUCCUUGGGAGAUUCUACCCCAAAAUCAUAUAUAAUAUGUAUGCACUUACUUGGAGCAAGUGACCACAAACUAGGAAGGAAGAAACUACGAGAAAUCAUACAUAGUGAAUAGUGCAACAUUUCAUGUGCAUAUCACUAGAACAACUCCUACAUAGAUGGUUACAUGAGGGUUUUGACCCCAUGUAUGUGUGCCAUAGCACAUCAAUCACCACAAGCACAUCUACCAAGCUAUCCACAACCACAAAACACCAAGCCCUCUCACAUAUGGCCAUGUGAAGGUGCAUAGUUUUGCUUGCAAAGGUGGGGAAGUACCACACACACACAUCUAAUCCACACCACACUACAACAUGCUCUUGAUAAAAACACAAGAAGUAGGGCAUCUAAAUAGUGACACAAGAUGGGAGCACCAUAUCACAUACACAUGCUCACAUCUAGGGUGUACAUGAACUAUGUUCAUGUGGGUGUGUUCUUCACACCAUAAGCACCCCAAGAUAUGCACAAAAAACAUAUCACCUAUUCCACAUAAGCAAGACACUAGAGCACCCACACACACACUUAUGCUAGCUUCACCACACACUCACAUACAUAUAACCAUGCAUGCACACAAUACGCAUACUGCACAGGAAAGAAGAAAUAAGAUACACACCUCUCUUGCUCUAUUACUUAGGCACAAGGUGAAGCAAGUAAAUAGAAAACAAAAAUAAAAGAAAGAAAGGGAAAAAAUAAAGGGCUGGCCUGGGAUUCAAACCCAGUGCCCCUGGUAUACCACAGAACAGGCUACCACUCUGCUACUGUCACUGUUUUGACAAAGAGAGGGGAUCUAACAGGGUAAGCUUCCCGUGUAGCUCACUGUGUCGAAUAAAACCAAAACAAAAUUUGCCGAGGGGGAUUCGAACCCACGCCUCUCAACAGGCACACAGCGCUCGCUACCACUACGCCACGGUCAAGGAGUCUGACGGAGAGGGGAUCUGAAACUAGGUAACUUAGUAGGAGGCCUUGCUCUGCCUACACAGCCUGCCGGCGAAAGGAAAGACGCCGGGCUUGCCUCACCGUUGUUGUUGCUGCUAUUGCUCCACGCCAGGAAGAUCUACCACUCCACUACGUUGCGCCUGAUACGCCACGGCUACACGCUACCACACCAAGCUACUGCACCACAAACACAUGCCCUGCUACCGAUCUGCUGUGAACAGAGAAGCCAACGAACACUACGGCGGAUCCGGGCCGAUCCAAGGAGGAAGAAGGAAGGGGACGAUGUCAUCACCUAGAGAAGGAAGAAGGAGGCCGAUCGGAGGAGGAGUCGCUGGAGGGGGAAGAAGAUCGACGACGAAGAUGCUCCUGACGCAGAACCGAAGCAGAGGUGAAGGAGCACCAGGUACGCGGCGUCGGCGAGCUCCUGGUCGACGGUGAGGACGCUCCUCGAACUCACCGAGGACGAAAAUGGGGCGCGGGCAGCAUCCCCGUGCCCCUGGACAUGGCCGCCGGCGCUGCUCGACGGAGAAGGCGGGGUAGACGGUGGCGAGGGGUUCUCUCUCUCUCUACUCCUAAUCUACAAAGAACUUACCAGUUGGGAGAAGAGAGAUGGGGAUGGAGAGAGGUGGUGGCGGCGGAUGGGGAGAGAGGGAAAACCUAGGGAGAAGAGAGGCACGGACGCCGAGAUUAUAUAAGGGGGUCCCCUCGACGUUGGUGCCCUCACGGCGGCAACGCCUGCUCUCUGAUGGACUGACGGAAAGGCAGAGAGGGGGGAGACGGCGUCAGGGAGGAAGAAGGGAAGCGCGUGGGCUCCUGGCGCACGAGAGGGAGAAGAGAUGGGCCUCUGUGAGUGGUAGGAAGCCCACCAGAGCGCCAAAUAGGGAAAAGCAAGCCCUGGGCUAUUACCUAUUUAGAAUAAAUACAGAGAAAGGAAAAGGCCCACGGGGCUAACUACUGAAGAUAAAAUCAAAAUAAAAAUGCCUCUGGAUCUGAAAAUAAAUAAGCUAUUUAAAUAAAAUACAAAAGGAAUUUUAUGGGGCAAUUAAAUAAAUACAAAACAGCNNNNNNNNNNNNNNNNNNNNNNNNNNNNNNNNNNNNNNNNNNNNNNNNNNNNNNNNNNNNNNNNNNNNNNNNNNNNNNNNNNNNNNNNNNNNNNNNNNNNAAGAUCGUCACUUAGAUGACUUCUGAAAUCGAGCUCUCCUCUACUUAUUCUCAGUUGUCGCUGCUCUUGGUUUCCYUAACUCUGGUUUCAAAAUCCACAAGGAUGAUCCUCAUCAUGCGCCCAAAGGCAUCGAGGCUUGUGGUUAUCUUGUAAAAUCCCUUGAUGAGCUUGAGGAUGAUGGUAAGGGCAAGGAUCUAAAUAAAGUUUCUAUUUGGAGGUAUCCUUCCUUUAUUGUUUUUAGUGUGUCAUUCACACCAUCUAUCCCAAAAUGGGUGUUAAGGGGACCUAUAACGGGUACUGUAUUGAUAUUAUGUCUCGCCUUAAUGAGCAUCCUAAAGGGAAGAUUAAUGUUGCUCACUUUGUACGGAAUGAGAUUUGUCCCACUAGUUUUUAGUACAAGCAAGCUUUUCCUCAUGCUCCUUUUUUCAGGCUCUCAUCGAGCAUGUGGCCACUUUCCCCAUUGCUCGUACUCAUGUGCAAUAGAAGUGGGUCAUUCCACCUCAUAUGGCAGAUGAUUGGGAUACCAAAGAACUCCUCUCUUGUUUCCGUCGACGGUCUACUGUCCUGUGUCUAUUUUCGCCUUCCCUUACUUUCCUUACGUCCCCCUUCGGUCCCUAUUCGUCUUCGUCUUUUCGAAGGGGAACGCCAACGUACGACGGGUANACGGAUGAUAGACNNNNNNNNNNNNNNNNNNNNNNNNNNNNNNNNNNNNNNNNNNNNNNNNNNNNNNNNNNNNNNNNNNNNNNNNNNNNNNNNNNNNNNNNNNNNNNNNNNNNAUUCUUGACUUUGGUAACUUUACAUUAUAAAGUUUACUCCAACUUAUCCUCAAACUUUUUGUUGUCAUGCCUUAAUGCUCAAAUAAUAGCCCUACACAAAAUAUUGGAUUUGUGGGAAUUCAUUUGAAUAGGGUUCUAAGCAGAAACCCAUUUCUGCCCAUUUCUAGGGUUUUUCAAGUCUACAUUGGAAAACUUCUCCAGCAAAUCCCAUAUUUGGUGUGGAAGCCUAUUUCCAUAUAUUAUUUGACCCUAUUAAGUUUCAUAGCCAUUGGAAUUCAUCUGGUGGACCAACCACAGAUCAAACACCUUGUGUGCACUCACUAAUUUGGUUUCUUUUGCCCCUUCCACUUUUACCCUUGAGCUCAACUUUCUACCACAGCCUCACAUAGUUACAUUUCACCUCCAGUAACUUUCCCAUGACCACUGGUCAAUUAUUUGGGAAGGACCUUUAUAAGUUUCUCUCAUUUUCACCCUUGGCAGCACUGUUUUACCCUUCUUUUCAUUAUUCUGCUUAAGCUAUCACCCCCAACUCAUUCCAGAGCAUCCAUUAUAUUCCAAGUCUUCAUUUAGAACCAAGAUAUGGCAUGCUCAUGUGGAGAAAAUGAGCAGCACCUCCUCAAGUUCAUUUCUGGCUGAAUCAUGGCUUUGAACAGCAAGUAGUAUGUACCCUCAUUUGUUUGAACUGAAACAUUGCAGUAUUAAAGUCCUUCCAUGCCUAGCACUGCCAGACGUAAUUUAUCUCCAAGGAUCCCCACCUAAGACCCCCUUUUGUCAGCUCUAAGUUUGCUGUUAGGAACUUUGCAGCAGUCAAGGCUAGUUCAAACCGACUCCACUAGUUGCCAAAGCUCCAGCGUUACCUUUCUACAUGUAUGGCUUGCAUGCUGGAAAGGUUUUGCUGGCCAUUGCNNNNNNNNNNNNNNNNNNNNNNNNNNNNNNNNNNNNNNNNNNNNNNNNNNNNNNNNNNNNNNNNNNNNNNNNNNNNNNNNNNNNNNNNNNNNNNNNNNNNCGCUCCGGAAGUUUGUGAUGAUCUCGUCUCAGCAGGGCUCCGCCCGAGCUCCGCAGAAACGCGAUCUAGAGGUAAAACCGUGGAGAUAUGUGGUCGGGCUGCCGUGGCAAAAGUUGUCUCAAAUCAGCCCUAAAACCCCACUAUAUAUAGGAGGGAGGGAGGGGAGGAGGCAGCCCCAAAACCUAAAGGUUUGGCCGAAAUUGGAGGUGGAGGAGUCCUACUCCAAUCCUACUUGGAGUAGGAUUCCACCUUCCCACUUGGAAACUCUUUCCACCUUGUGUUUUUUCCUUCUCAAACCUUAUGGGCCUUAGUGGGAACUUAUUCCAGCCCACUAGGGGCUGGUUUAUCUCUUCCCAUAGCCCAUGAGACCCCUUGUGGCGUGACACCCCUCCUGAUGGUCCCCGGCACCCCUCCCGGCACUCCCAGUACACUACCGAUGAGCCCGAAACUUUUCCGGUAAUGCACGAAAACCUUCCGGUAACCAAAUGAGGUCAUCCUAUGUAUAAAUCUUCAUUUCCGGACCAUUCCGGAAACCCUCGUGACAUCCGUGAUCUCAUCCGGGACUCCGAACAACAUUCGGUAAUCAACCAUAUAACUCAAAUACGCAUAAAACAACGUCGAACCUUAAGUGUGCAGACCCUGCGGGUUCGAGAACUAUGUAGACAUGAUCCGAGAGACUCCUCGGUCAAUAUCCAAUAGCGGGACCUGGAUGCCCAUAUUGGAUCCUACAUAUUCUACGAAGAUCUUAUCGUUUGAACCUCAGUGCCNNNNNNNNNNNNNNNNNNNNNNNNNNNNNNNNNNNNNNNNNNNNNNNNNNNNNNNNNNNNNNNNNNNNNNNNNNNNNNNNNNNNNNNNNNNNNNNNNNNNUACAUAGCUUUGGAUGAAAUNUAAACCCAGAUAAACGUCAAUGAAGAAACCUAGGCUUAAAAUAUCUCAUGAUCAAGGAUUAGUGGGGUAGUUAUCUCAUUCUUGAAACAACUUCCCUUCGAGACUCUUCCACUAACAAGAAUGCUAUAACACCACCUCAAAGGAAAAUGGAGGAAGAAUUGCACUUUGAAAUACAAGAUACGAACACUUAGGUACUACCAAAAGAAUCUUGAAGACACUUUGAGAAUUAAUUGAAAAAUUGAAGGACCAUCAUGAAAACCACUUGAAGAACACUAGAAUGAAAGGAUGAAAGAAUAAGAUUAAAGGCCUUACAAUGAUUUAGAUGAAGAUUCAUGAAGAGAUGUUUGAGAAAACUUGGAACUCCGGAAAAAUGAGAUGAACAACAUUGAAUGGAAAAUUGAUAUCAUGAGCCACUACAGAAGAAGAACUGAAAUCACCUUGAUAGAAACAAAAGAAUGAUAAUUAUGUUAUGCUCACCUUCUAUACUAAGUUAAAGUUAGGUUGACAACGACGAACGGUAAGUUGUCGAUAUACUACUUACUUUCUUUACUUUAAGUAAAAAAAACGUUAAAAAAGUAAGGGAGGAAGUAAGUAAGUAAGGACGACUACUACUUAGUAANNNNNNNNNNNNNNNNNNNNNNNNNNNNNNNNNNNNNNNNNNNNNNNNNNNNNNNNNNNNNNNNNNNNNNNNNNNNNNNNNNNNNNNNNNNNNNNNNNNNUUACCUUCCAAUAGAUUGAAUAACGUAGUCAACAGAAMUCWAACGCAUGAUCAAAAGUAGCAAAGACUACUACCGCAGAUUAUUUGGUGAAGAUUAUGAGAAUCAGUUUGCACAGUACGCAGGUACACAGAAAGUAGGGGAAGAUUAACUCGAAUGAAUAAUCUGAGGUUGAGGAAAUUCAUAUAAAGUCUUCGGAAAAUUUCUUCAAACAGCGUAGAUGAAAGUCUUCAACAUACAAUUGUGAGGAAAUGGAAGAGUUGAAGAAAUAGAACUCGUAUCACGAUGAAGAUAGUUGUUGAUGACCCAGUUCCAACUGUUGUGACAAUUGUACGUCUGGUUUGGAGUGGCUUGGUAUUGAAACCAAAGGACACACAGUCCCUACCAUAUUCUCUUUGAGCUAGGGACACACAGUCCUCGUCCAACACUCGUGGUAAGUCUUUAGGGCACACUUCCAAACCCUCACAAACUCGGUCACCCGACGAUCCACAAUUGACUGCUGGAUGCUCUAGACCAUGACGCCUAACUGUCUGGAGGAUGCACAGUCCUCAAAGGUAAAAGGCUUCAGUUCCACACAGGAACAAAUUCUUCAUUGAUGCUUUUCUCUCAAAGACUCUUAGGAAUAUGUGGUUUGGUGUUUGGGGUAUUUCCUCACUUGAUGAUUUUCUCUCGAAGACUCUGAGGAAUUUGGGUUGCUGUAAAUGAUAAGUGUCAGUUUCUCUCGGAGCAGCCAACCAGCUAGUGGUAGUGGGGGCGGCUAUUUAUAGCAUGGGAGCAUCCCGACAUGAUUUGACAUAAAUGCCCUUAAGUACUGUGACCGUUGGGUGGAUAAGAUUAGGGAGGUGGCGCGUGUCGCGGCAACGGUCAGAACUUUCAACUGUGAAAGUCCUCAUGUCUCUCAUAUUCCUCUACUUUGAGGUCUUUGGUUAGGUUUCGUAGUUUUGGGUUGAGCUAUCAUGAGACAAAUUCAUUGUGUUAGUUAUUACUUCCUAACCCCCUUUAAUACGUACGGUUGUUCCUAUGACUACAAGAAGUAAAGAAUAGAACAGAAGAGUAAUCUUNNNNNNNNNNNNNNNNNNNNNNNNNNNNNNNNNNNNNNNNNNNNNNNNNNNNNNNNNNNNNNNNNNNNNNNNNNNNNNNNNNNNNNNNNNNNNNNNNNNNCCGUCCUUUCGGUCGUUACGUAGGACCGUCGUAGGUCGUCUUGGUCCUACGGUACGGCCUGGACGUUCGUCUGGGCGAUAACCAAUACUUUCUAUCAGUUUCCUUCUCCUUGGUAAGGAGUAUGGGUUAGUAGGUUCCGUCCACUUCCUCUUCCUCAUCACUAGCUGGAUCUUCACACAUAGAAGUUGGCCUUUUGUAGGAUCGAAAGUAUAUCUAGAGGGGGUGGUUAGACUACUUGACAAGAUAAAAACUUAGCCUUUUCCCAAUUUUCAGUGUGGCCAGUUUUAGCAACUAUGACUAGUCAACUACACCCUACACAUGGACAUCUAAGAGUAUAGCAGUGGAAAAUAAGACAUGCAAGUGUAAAGCAAGGAAGGGUAGGGAGAUCAAACACAUGAGGUUAACACGGUGAUUUUUGGCAUGCUUCCGAUAGAUGGCGCUAUCGCACGUCCAUGUUAGCGGAGACUUCAACCCAUGGAGGAUAAGGGCUGCUAGAGUCCACGGAGAGCUCCAACCACAAGGGGUCCAUGAAGAAGAGGCCUUGUCUAUUCCACCACGGCGUCCAUCCACACAAGACUAGCCUCACUCAUGGUGGAUCUUCAUGAAGUAGGCGUUCUCCUUGACCUUGGAAACAUCUUGGUUCAACUCCACAACACAAAGUAGGAGGAUCGCAAGUGACACCUAACCAACCUAGGAGGUACCACCCUCCAAAAUGUAAUAGAUGUGGUAGAACGAUGAACUAGUUGCUCUUGUGCUCCUAAACAUAGUCUCCUCAAUACUCAUUCACUCUCUCUCAGGUUUGGCAGGGGUAGGAGAGAUUGAUCUUGUGGAAAGCAACUUGGGGAGGCUAGAAAUCAAGGUUCAAAUGGUUGGAAUGGAAUCUCUUGAUAUCAACACAUGAGUAGGUGGAUCUCUCUCAGAAAAAUGAAUCUGGCAAUGAAGUGUGUGUUGUGAGUGCUUCCGCUGCAAAUGAGAGGUAGGUGGAGGGGUAUAUAUAGGUAGCACACAAAAUCCAACCGUUCCACCAUGAUUGACCAACUCGAUGACACCAAAGUUAAAAACUUGGUGGUACCGACUUGCUAAAAAGGCAGCAACUUUGAAUCUCGGUGGAACUGAUAUACCCUACUCGGUGGCACCGAAAAGGUAACUAACGAUCAUAUGACACAACUCGGUGACAUCGAUACUCAAAGACAAAAAUUAUGAUUUUGUGUAUCGAGGCAAUAGAAUGUUGGUCACAUGAACUUGAUAGCACCGAUGCAGUUUCGGUUGCACCGAAGUGGUAGGGUUUGGCUAGGCUCUGUCUAAGUCUGAAAUCGGUAGGGCCAAGUGGAAAUUGUGGGUGGCACCGAUUUUGGAUAUUUGGCUUGGGACAAAUAUAUUUUGUGGAAGAAUGGUUGAGUACUUUUGGUGGCUAACUCUAAGUACUUGAGCAACCAAUUCAUCAUCACACCUCAUCCCCUUUCGAUAGUCUUGGCUUUCCUAUGGACUCAAAUGUGAUUUCUUACAAAGUGUGGAAUUAAGAGUCUUCUUGGUUGAAGCUUUAACCAAUCUUAUUCCUUCCAUCAUCGAGGGGCAUCUCCACUCAAUCCUAUAGCCAAAGCAUCUUUUGGACUUUUCUGAAAUAUACUUGUAGAAACUCAUUAGUCGAAUGAUGAUCAUGUUGUGAUUAAUUACCAAAACCACCUUAGGGAGCAAUUGUGUUUUCAAUCUCCCCCUUUUUGGUAAUUGAAGACAACAUAUAGAUCAAAGCUUCGACAAAAGAUAUAAUCAAUGAUUAGCAUCGACUCUUUGAGAGGUACGUGAUAAACAAGGUCUCCCCCUAAAUUUGUGCGUUAUUUUAAAUUUGCAUUUGAAUGCAAAUGCAUAAUCGAAUAGGAAUAUGAUUACUAUUCCAUGUCACAUACAACUUGGUGGUGCGCAUAACAGAUAAGAAUGAAUAGAAAUGCACAUAGCACCAAAAACAAGUGAAUGAUCAUGAUGUAGAUAGCUCAAAGAUAAUAAUGUAGUAGCAUCAAACAAUCAAAGUGCAUGAUCAAACACACAUCUAAAAACAUAAUGUCAUCCAAACCACCAUAUAAAGUUUUGAAAACCAAACGAGAGUAAAUAAAGUCAAAAGCUCUCCCUCUCUCGAAGCCCUAUGAUCUAUACACUUCUCCCCAUUUGGCAACAAGUACCAAAAGUUCAAAGGUCUAAUCUAAGCGUCUCUCUGGGCAUGAUCUCCUCUGGUAGCACAUGUUGGAGUAGACAAGAGAGCAUCGACAAAGGCUUCGAUUGAUGUCGCUCGAGCAGGAUCUGGAGGUGUAGACACGGGAGGUGGUUGAGCAGGAGCUGAAGCUUGAGCAGAUGAAGACGGUCUAUCUUCUGGUACUGGCGUGGCUACUGACCUAGUUUGGGUCGAGAAACGUGUGGUAGUACGAAUAGGUGAAUCAUCAUCAUCAUCAUCAUCUUCAUUAUCCGAGUGUGGAAUCUACACCGAGUCAACUUCAUGCUGAAGUUGUGUUACUGUAGCGGUCAACUCCGUAACCUUCACAUCUAGUCAUGGACCUUUGUUUCCACGAUCCUCUCUAGGCUCUUCUAGUUCAGCAUGAUCUCAGAAAUAUUGUUCUUCAUACCUUGGAUGGUGCUGACCAAGAACGACAUAUGUUCCUCUCUGGUUUUGAGCUGUGGUGGUGGAGCUGGAGCAUUCUUAGCAAUCUCUGCAGCAGCUGCCUCUAGAGCCUAUCUAGCUGUAGCUGAAUCUGGAUGAGUGUCAUUCAUCACAACUUCAUUAUCCUCGAACUCUAGCCGUAGUGGAAAAUGAGGACAAUCAAGCUGAUAUGCAUGCUUGGAAAUCUUGGCAUUGAUGAGCAUCUGAAUGUGUGGUGGAUAUCCGCAAGAUCUCUUCUGAUCUGCAAAAGUUCUCCUGAUAGUCUCAGCAAUCAAGUCCAUGACUUUGAAGCGAGUGUGGUGAUUAAAUGAAGCAGCAUAAUGAUGGAAUACCCUCUAAUCAUUUUGUCAUCACCUGAUUUGGGCAUCGCAGUAUGCCUCAAGAUAGUGUUUGCACUGGUUACUCCAACUUGCAAGAAAUAGACAGACCCAAGCUUGUGAGAUGGUAGGAAGUCAUUUGGCACUGUUUUGUACAUAUUGGCCAUGGAGUUGUGAUUAUUCUUUGGUUCUGAAUACACAUCCAAGUCCCGUUCUCGUGGAUUUGGAGCACCAAUGAUAUGAGCCUAUUCUUCAAUUGUGGCUUCAUAUCUAUGUCCAUCAGUCAUCUACACAAUUGUGCCAUUUGAAUAGAAAUGAACUGUUGAAUAGAAUUUCAUAAUCAUUUCAUCAUUCCAUGAAGUCAUCUCUGUGCCAACAAACUAUUCAAUGUCAACAAGAUUGAAGUUCUCUCUCACAUGAGGAAUAAAUCAUCACUCGUCUUUGAUGUAACUCCCAGUACAACAUAUCUCAUGUCAACUUAACUUCCAGUAUUAUUUGUACUAANNNNNNNNNNNNNNNNNNNNNNNNNNNNNNNNNNNNNNNNNNNNNNNNNNNNNNNNNNNNNNNNNNNNNNNNNNNNNNNNNNNNNNNNNNNNNNNNNNNNAUUUUCUUUGGGUUAAACUUUCAAAACCUUGAGAUGAGGUUUGUACUACAAGCCCUCAAAUUAGGGAAUUUAUUUUGCAUCAAUUAUUUUAUUUCAAACCCAUUAUCAAAGUGUCUUCCAAAAACCACCAUAUUAUUAUUUUAAAAGUUAUUUUAUUAUUUUAUUUAAAAGCCCUUCUAUGAGGCCAGAAAUGGUCUCCUAUGAAGGAAAGUUAUUUUUGUUGCCUUCAAAAUAUUUCAGAAAAAUUUAGGGAAACUCAGUGGAAAUAUUUAUUCCAUAUUUAUGAGUUUCAACACAUGGUCAUGUUCAAAAUAUUGGGCAAACCCCUCCAAAACCAUUCCUGCCUAUUUCAAGCUUUUGGAAUAUUUCUAUAAGAAAUAUUCUCAAUAAAUUCCAGUAAAAUUCUAGCAUGUCAUCUAUGAUAUUAUUGAUGAUCUUGCCAAGUUUCAUUUCAAUCCAAGUUGAUUUGACUCCCCUAAUCACUCUAAAACCCUAUCUGUCCAGAAUCAAAUUUGAGCAACUCUACAUUGUGAAGUGUCUCCAAUUGUGCUCAAAUUUGGUGGACAUGUUCCAGUACUCCAAUGAGGCAUCCACACCAAGUGGUACACCAAGGAGAAUAUAGGAACUUGUCCUAAGACCAUCAAAACCCUCUCUGUUGAUUUCUGACUUUGGUAAACUUUACAUUAUAAAGUUUCUCCAAUUAUCCUCAAACUUUUUGUGCAUGCCUUAAUGCUCAAAUAAUGCCCCUACACAAAAUAUUGGAUUUGUGGGAAUUCAUUGAAUAGGGUUCUAAGCAGAACCAUUUCNGCCAUUUCUAGGGUCUUUUCAAGUCUACNNNNNNNNNNNNNNNNNNNNNNNNNNNNNNNNNNNNNNNNNNNNNNNNNNNNNNNNNNNNNNNNNNNNNNNNNNNNNNNNNNNNNNNNNNNNNNNNNNNNGCAUGCAAGCUUCCUAGAAUUUAGGGUUGGCAUCUGUUUAAAACAUGUGGGAUUAGGGUAGGGGUCUUGCGCCGUUUUCGGACCGUGUGAUCUCGAUCGGACGGUCCGAAACGGAGGGGUAGGAUAGGUGGGUGGUGUUCGGCCGUGUAGAAUAGGUUGGGCUGAGAAGAGAGGGAGAUUUGUGGCCGCAGAAUGAGAUUUUAAACAACAAAAAACAUACGAUGAUAGAUGACGGUGCCGCUACGGUCGACAGUUCGGGCAUCACACGACCUCUGAUUGCGACGAAAUUUGUCACGCGGUCUACCUAUAUUAAAAUAAGACCGCACGCCAAGUUUCAACCCAAUCCGAGAAUAUUUUGUACACAUGUUUAAAAUCAAUAUUUUAAUGAUGUCGUGGGCGCGUGCGUGUGUGGUUGGUCUCGAAACGGUCAACGACAAAAUGAAGAGAAUCGGCAACUACUAACGGAUGCAUGUUUUGAAAACUGGCGGCAACGGAAUGCCGAUGCAAUGCGGAUGAUCUGAUGAUGAAUGCGAGAACCAAAUAAAACACAUGGCGACAACGAAAUAAAAGGGGAAUUCKUUUGGCGCGUCGGUCUUGGGCUGUUACAACUCUCCUACACUAACAAGAGAUCUCUCCCCGAGAAUCCUAAAGAAUGAAAGGGGANNNNNNNNNNNNNNNNNNNNNNNNNNNNNNNNNNNNNNNNNNNNNNNNNNNNNNNNNNNNNNNNNNNNNNNNNNNNNNNNNNNNNNNNNNNNNNNNNNNNAUUUCUAUUUAUUAUUGGUGUUAGAUUACUGUAUUCUCACUUUCCACUGGCUAGUACCCCCGACUACUAUCCAUAGUUUCAUCAAAACAAAGACAACCAACUCACAAAAAGAAUACUGUCAAAAMMAGACCACUCUGUAGCAAUAUGUAUACUUCGUAUACUUCUGGUACCUCWAAAUUUUUGAAACAUUACGACAGCCUGGGAAAAAGGAAUAUCAACCAGCAUCAAAAAGAAUCAACUCAAAAGCUCUUUCUGAAUGAAAUUGAAACAUAAUUUUGUGAGCGAAAAGUUUCUGUAUUUUUCCAGCAGGAUCAAAGAACCAUCUACCAAAACUAGUCAUAAAGGUUUUGCUUGGCUCAAACACAAAAAGAAACACUAAAAACACAAUCAUAAUAGAAUUAUGAUCGUUUGGACGCAACAAAACAUAAAGAAUAGAUAAAUUCGUUGGGUUGCCUCCCAACAAGCGCUAUUGUUUAAGGCCCUUAGCUAGGCAUAAGGCGAUAGAAUCAUGUAUCGUCGUCUUUGGUACUCAAACUGUAAGUAGCCCUCAUCAUGGAUUCAUAAGGCAAUCUUAUUUUCUUUCUAGGAAAAUGUACAUGGCCUUCUUUAAUGGAAAUUGAAAUCUAAUAUUCCCUUCCUUCAUAUCGAUGAUACCACCAAUAGUCCUUUGGAAAGGUCUACCAAGAAUGAUAGGGCAUGUAGGAUUGCAAUCAAUAUCAAGCACGAUGAAAUCCACUAGUACAUAGUUCCUAUUUGCAAUAAUAAGAACAUCAUUGAUCCUUCCCAUGGGUUUCUUGACAGUAGAAUCCGCAAGAUGCAAAUUAAGAGAGCACUCAUCAAUCUCAUUAAAGCCAGAACAUCACAUAAAGACUUUGGAAUCGCGGAAACACUAGCACCCAAAUCACACAAAUCAUUGAAUUCAUAGUUUUCGAUUUUGAUUUUGAUAGUAGGUGCCCACUCAUCAUGAAGCUUUCUAGGAAUAGAAACUUCCAACUCAAGUUUCUCUUGAAGAGAUUUUAUCAUAUCUUCGACGAUAUGAUCGGUAAAGGCCUUGUUUUGGCUAUAAGCGUGUGGAGAGUUUAGCAUGGAUUGCAUCAAUGAAAUGCAUUCAAUCAAGGAGCAACUAUCAUAAUUGAAUUCCUUGAAAUCCAAAGUAGUAGUUUCAUUACUACUCAAGCUUUUAAUAUCUUCUACUCCACUUUCAAUUCUUUUAGCAUCAAGAUAGAUGGACUCCGAAUCAUUGGGGCAUUUUUCAACCAAAGUGGAUUCAUAUCCAGCCCCAUUAUCGUUAGGUUUGACACAAGAAAACAAAGAUUCAAUGGGAGUCGCACCAAACACUUUAAGAUCCUCAUGAUUCUUAUCACGAGAACACACCUUUUUAAGCCAUUCAUGUCUAGCACGAAUUUGGGCGGUUCUUUGUUUGCUCUCACUCAUGGAAACACGCAUAGCUUUCAAAGUUUCAUCCAUAUUGGUCUUGGGAGAAGCACAUCUAACUUUCAAAGAAUCAAUAUCACUAGACAUUCUAUCAACGCUCCUAGCCAAAUCGUCAAUUUUCAGUACUUUUUCCUCUAUGGACGCAUUGAAAAUCUUUUGCGAGUUGAGAAACUCUUUGAUAUUAGUCUUUUGAUCAGAGGGUAAUUUAUUGUAAUUUCCAUGAGUAUUGUUGUAGGAGUUGCCAAAGUUAUUAGAGGGGUUACUAGGAAAAGGCCUGGGAACAUAGUUUCCUCUAAAAGCAUUGUUUUUGCCAAAAUUAUUCCUACCAACAAAACUAACGUCCAAGCUCGCAUUACUACUCUCAAUCAAGGAAGACAAGGGCAUGUCAUUAGGAUCUAAAGGAGCACUUCUACUAGCAAUGAAAUUCAUUAACUCGUCCAUCUUAGCACUCAACGAGUUAACUUCUUCUAUAGCGUGUACCUUUUUACUAGUAGGUCACCUUUCAGUGUGCCACUGAGAGUAGUUUGUCAUGAUAUUGUCUAGGAGUUUUUUGGCUUCUCCUAAUGUGAUUUCCAUGAACAUUCUACCUGAGGUGGAGUCAAAGAUAAUUCUAGAAGCGAAAUUCAAGCCAGCGUAGAAGAUUUGUAUAAUCAUCCGAAGACUCAAGCCAUGAGCGGGACAAUUUCUAAUCAUCAAUUUCAUUCUCUCCCAAGAUUGUGCAACAUGUUCAUGAUCGAGUUGCUUAAAAUUCAUGAUAUAAUUAUGGAGAGUGAUAAUCUUAGCCGGCGGAAAAUACUUGGAUAUAUAAGCAUCUUUGCACUUGUUCCAAUAAUCAAUACUAUUUUUAGGCAAAUAUGAAAACCAAGUUUUUGCUCGAUCGCGCAACGAGAACGGAAAAAUCUUCAAUUUAAUCACAUCAUUAUCCACAUCUUUCUUCUUUUACAUAUCACAAAGCUCAAUGAAGGUAUUAAGAUGGGAUGCGACAUCUUCACUAGGAAGGCCGGAGAAUUGCUCUUUCAUAACAAGAUUGAGCAAAUCAGCAUUGAUUUCGUAUGAUUCCGCACUAGUGGCGGGAGCAAUCAGAGUACUAACAAAAUCAUUAUUAUUAGUAUUUGAGAAGUCACAAAGUUUGGUGUUUUCAGUCAUGGUGACUUCAACAAGCAAACAAGCACACAAGCGAACAGGAAGCAAGCGAGAGAAAAGGGCGGACGAAAAAGGCAAACGAAAAAGGCAAAUAUUUUUGUAAAUUUUUGUUAUUCAGAAGUGGGGGAGAGGAAAACAAAAGGCAAAAAAGUAAAUGCAAGAGAUGAGUUUGCGACACUUACUUGGAUCAGUUCUUAACUUGAUCGUCCCCGGCAACGGCGCCAGAAAUCCUUCUGCUGCCUCUUGAGAUUGCGUUGGUUUUUCCCUUGAAGAGGAAAGGGUGAUGCAGCACAGGAGCAAUAAGUAUUUCCCUCAGUUUGAGAACCAAGGUAUCAAUCCAGUAGGAGAAUCGAGGUCAAGUCCAGAGUACCUGCGCAAUCACAAACGAGCUUGCACCCAACGCUAUAAAGGGGUUGUCAAUCCCUUCAAGAUUGAUUGCAAAGUGAUAUCUGAAGGCGGAAAGUGCAACGAAGUAAAAGUGAAAGGCUGAAAAUAUGGUGUGAAGUAGACCUGGGGGCCAUAGUGUUCACUAGAGGCUUCUCUCAAAAUAGCAAAUAUUAUGGUGGGUGAACAAAUUACUGUCGAGCAUUUGAUAGAACCGCGCAAAGUCAUGACGAUAUCUAAGGCAAUGAUCAUACAUAUAGGCAUCACGUCCGAGACAAGUAGACCAAUACUGUCUGCAUCUGCCACUAUUACUCCACACAUCGACCGCUAUACAUCAUGCAUCUAGUGUAUUGAGUUCAUGACAAACAGAGUAACGCCUUAAGCAAGAUGACAUGAUGUAGAGGGAUAAACUUAAACCAAUGAUGUAAACCCCAUCUUUUUAGCCUUGAUGGAAACAACAUGAUGCGUGCCUCGCUACCCCUUCUGUCACUGAGUGAGGUCACCGCACGGUAUGAACCCAAAACCAAGCACUUCUCCCAUUGCAAGAGUCAUAGAUCAGGUUGAGCAAAGAAAACCACAACUCGAAGAGAAUUACAAGGAUAUGAAAUCAUGCAUAUAAGAGAUCAAAAGAAAUCAAAUAAGAUUCAUAGAUAAUCUGAUCAUAAAUCCACAAUUCAUUAGAUCUCCACAAACACACCACAAAAGAAGAUUACAUCGGAUAGAUCUCCAUGAAGAUCAUGGAGAACUUUGUAUUGAAGAUCCAAGAGAGAGAAGAAGCCAUCUAGCUACUAGCUAUGGACCCGAAGGUCUGUAGUGAACUACUCAUGCAUCAUCGGAGAGGUCAUGGUGUUGAUGAAGAAGCCCUCCGUAUCCGAAUCCCCCUCCGGCAGGGCACCAGAACGUGCCCCAGAUGACAUCUUGCGGAGACAGAAGCUUGCGGCGGCGGAAAAGUAUUUUCGUGGAUCUCUCACGCAGAUUUUUCAGGAAUUUAUAGGCGGAAUAGGUGGGGCAGACGAGCCACAGGGGGACAACAAGCCUGCUAGGCGUGGCCCCCUGGACGGACCUAGGGGGCUUGUGGGGUCCUCUCKAUCSCCUGUGUGCCUUGGUUCUGAAGUCCCAUGCGUAUCUUCUGUUCCUGAAAAAAUAUUUUCGGAAGUUUUAUUCCAUUUGGACACCGUUUAAAAUCCUCCUAUGAAAAGGGUCAAAUACACUGAAAAAACAGGAACUGGCACUUGGCACUGAGUUAAUAAGUUAGUCCCAAAAAAGAUAUAAAAGGCAUACAAAACAUCCAAAGUUUGACAAGAUAAUAGCAUGGAACCAUAAAGAAAUUAUAGAUACGUUGGAGACAUAUCAGGAACCUACACGUAGCCGCAACGCAAACCGCUUCUUCUCCGCGCGCGAUCUACUCUCUGAAACCCCCCUUGGUGAGAACCUCCCCUUCCUGUGCAUGUUCCCCUCGGCGUAGCCUUGUCGUAGCCGCCGCAGCGUCCACGUUGCCGGCCAGGACGAGCUGUGCUCGAGCUCGUAGCCUCCGGUGUGCCCUGCUCCUUAGGGUCUCGUAGCCCUGGGAAUGGAACCCCCGAGGGUUCCCACACCCCAGCCGAUAGAACCUCGCCGUCGUUGACGCCUCUCCGCUCGCCGGCGUCGUCUCCUCCUCCUCUGCAAUUCAUGUCUGGAGGUAGGACAAGGCCCAUGUCCAUAGCUUAGGUGCAGGCGACACCCUCGUUCUGUCAAGUACCGAGCCGUACCGAGUGGUGCGAGCGCAACACCCAACCAGGGGGAUCGUGGUAUCGAAUCCUCCUGGACCGCUUUUGUUAUUUUUCGUUUUAUGUUCCUCUAGUGUGGCAGUGGUGUUGGUAUAGGAGGCCUUCGGCCCCUUGUAGAACAACUGUCCUAGCGUAGAGCAGUGGUGUGGUGAGUGUGUGCGUGAGCAGAGGUGUAGGUUCGAAUCCCCCUGUACCUAUUUUUGUUGAGGUAUUUCUAGUGUGUGUGCUGUGUUGAGUGUUGUGUGCGAGUGUGUGGCUGACAGUGGGCCACAGGGGCCCACAUGUCAUCCAGUGAAGGAGUCGUGGCCACUUCAAGGUGGGCCCCCCUCCUUAUCAUACAUUUCCUGUUUAUUUUUUAUUAUUUGUGUAUUUAUUUGUGUUAAAUAGGAUUGUUCCCAUUUCUGGAAAUGUCCAGAUAUGGACUUGCCAAAUUGGACAGGCUCAAGAACAGCAUUGUUCCGAAUAUUGUUGUAGUUUGAUCUGUGUCUUACUUUUUUCUUUCUAGUUUGUUUGUUAGUUCGUUUUUUCNGAAUGCAACNGUGGGCAGUAUGAUAUAUGGUAUUUUGGGNNNNNNNNNNNNNNNNNNNNNNNNNNNNNNNNNNNNNNNNNNNNNNNNNNNNNNNNNNNNNNNNNNNNNNNNNNNNNNNNNNNNNNNNNNNNNNNNNNNNACGGACACAUCCAGCCAACCAUAUCCGCGGCCGAUCACACAGUCGCGGCGCAUGGCACCGAGUACCUCGUCCGGACGAGCCGUCUCUAGCCCCGUCGCAACCACCUGCUCCCGCGACACCCUGCUUCUUUGCUCGGUGGGAUGCAAGGCUCACGCCUCGCUCGCGUCAAGGGAGCUGGAAGCCAUGGUGCUCGCUCGUGCCUGCCCCACCUGUCGUGCCGGCCGUUCCAUUGGACCAGACCGCCUCGUUGACAAGCCUCCCUGGCGAAGCUACCGCCGCCGGAGCACCUCGCCUUAACCCCGACGCCGAUGAGUCGCUGGAGCGAACAGGUCGCUCCUCUGCGCUAGGAUCCUUCCUAUGCCCCACCUUCCCUAUCCUCUCUCCUCU
rnacentral:lncRNA from 1 species